rnacentral:lncRNA from 1 species
CAUCUCCAUCUUGCGUACGCAACUUUUAUAUAUGCGUGAGAGUAUAUUACACCAAAUGUGAUAUCAUAUUAUAUAUAUAUAUAUAUAUAAGAGUUAAUUAGAGAUGCAUAUAUAAUAUUAAUGAAUUAUUAUUUUUUCGUUUGUUUUCAUUUCAAACUCCAAAUGCGUUUCGCAACAAAAUGAGUAUUUACAAAUAAGUGGGGAUAAAAGGAAAAAGGAAAUUAAUUUUGAAAAAGGAAAUUUAAAAAAAAUAUAUUUAUCAUUAUCAUUAUAUUUUGACAUAGAUAAAAUGAGCCAGAGCUUUUUAUUAUUAAGAUAAGGACAUAUCAAACUCAGGUUAUCUCCAUUAUUUAUUGAAACAGAAAAUGAGAAGAUCAUUUCAACUUUAGUUUUGUUCUGAAUUGCUGUUGGUUUAGUCUCAUGAUAUUAUUCGAAUUACUGUCUGCUGCUACUGUUAGUUUAUACAUAUUAAUUGGUUUUAUACUUUUGCUACCAUCACGACAAUUCUGAGAAAUUUCCUUCUUUAAAAUUUUUUAUCUAUCAGGUCCUUCCCAAGUUCAUAAUGUCGCCACUAUAAUCUAUCGCUGUCUUUUUCAUCACAUUUUGUUUUUUUGUUUUUAUAUUAAAGUCUAUCCAUUUUUGAAAUAAAUACUGUUUUUAAAUGAUAUUGUUGUUGUCAUGCAUAGAGUAGGCACGAAUCUUGGCGACUUUUUAAUCCAAUAAUUAAAACCAUUUUGUUUCAUUAGUUCAUUAGUAAACUUUAGGGUUUCAGCUGCAUUGCAGAAAUCAUGGCGACACUAUCCCGAUUUUGAGCAUCUCCGUGUGUUGUUUAACUUUUAUAUACGCAUGCGAAUAGUAUUAUAAUAACUUUACGAACGAACAAAAAUGUGAUAUCAAAGUAGCAUAUAAGAUUUUAUUAGAGAUGCGUAUAAUUAGUCUAUUUUUUUUCUUUUGUUUCAGAUUCUAAAUAUGUUUCACAAUAAAAUUAAUAUUAAAAUAAUUAAAAAAAGGAAAAACGAUAUGAAAAACGAAACACAAAAAUUAUAAAUAAUACAAAGAGGAGAAUGUAAAUGUUCCAAUCAUGCUAUCCGAAUACAAAAUCAACUAAGGAGCAGUCUGAUUGCACUGAUUCUUCUUUCUUUUUUUCUUUUUCCUAUGAGUAAAUAUAAGUAGAAUUUAGAUUUUACAAUAACCUCAAUCUACUUUGUUACCUUGGCAAAAAUAAUUAAAAUGUAUAAAGAAAAAUACAGUUGGUAGAUUAUCGCAUCUAAGCCAUACGGAAAUUAUGUUUCCAAAGUGUCUUCUAGGUUUUUUGGAGGUUAUACUACUGUUGCGAAUCUCUCGGUUGAUACACUAGUAGAUAGACAGUGUCGGAAGCGAUAGCUGAUUGUGUCAGAUUGCAUUAUCUAUAUGAUUGUGUCUGAUUCGUAUCCUGAUCAAAUCUUUAAUUAGUUUAUUAUUGAAUUUGGUCAUAUCUUAUCAUAUAGAUAAGUUAAUUAUAAGUGUGUAUGAAAAAUUAUAGUUAACCGUGACUUGUAAGGUAAGUUUGGAUAUUUAUUGCUUUCUGUUAAGUUUUUGAGCUUCCAACUCAAAAUCAAUUAACAAUGAGUGGAUUGGUCCAAAUCUCUUCUUUUUCUUUAUAUAUAAAACUGGGACUUUCACAACUUGUGGGAACAAACAUCAGGAAACCUCCAACCAAAAGGGCCCAAAGAUCGGAUGGAUGGCUCUGAUACCAUGUUAAAUAUGAGUUUAUAGGCUUCUAACUCAAAACUAAUUGGCAAUGAAUAAAUUAUCCCAUAUCUCUUAUAUACUACUAAAAAUCUCUUCUAACUUCCGAUGUGGGAUAAUAGUCCCUAAUACUUUCACUUUUUGAACGUUAUCAACGGUUAGUUUCGGUUUAAGAUAACAAUUAAUGUAAGAACACACUUUCACUGUGAAAUAUGCAUUGAUUCGUUUUUAUAUCUGUGUCGCCGUCUCGUCCAAGUUUCUUUGUCCAAGUAGUUAUUUUGAUGACAACCAAAAGUCGUUUCCUUUCAUCUAUUCUUUUGCACAUCAUUAUGUCCUGAAUAAGCAGUAAUAUAUAUGGCAUCUAAAACAACUUGUCGAUUUUGCAUGAAAGAGUAGGUCGAUGGUGAAUAUGAGCAUUCUUUUUUUUUUUCUAUAAAUCGUACACUGAAGCGUCGCUGAAAAGUUGUUGUGUCUUAUAUCGUUCUCUGUUUAGCCUCAUGAUAAUAUUCGAGUUAAUGUGUGCUGUUGCUGGUUUAUGCGUAUUGGAACGAGAAACACAAACACAAAACGAGUUUAUUAUAUUAUAUAUUCAGAUCGAAACAAAAGUACACAGAACAUGAUAUUACACCUAGAGGGAGAAGCAAUGAUAAGCUUUGCCCUUGAUGUUUUUAUUUAGAAGCAAACGAAACUUGAACAUAAACAUACACACAUGUCAUGUCUUCUCACACCGAAUGGAUAAAAGUUACACUUGGUAAUCAGAUAAGGUUAUAUAGCCUUUGUGUAGCAAUGGCAAUGCUCGUCCGUUCCCUCAAUAGCCGCCCAACAGACUGGAGGACUCCCGUAUUUGGUUACACAACAGAUGCAGCAAUCAUUAUGUGUAGUUCCAUGCGCAGGCUCGCACUCCCCGAGGAACACACGUGUAAUGGGCGUUGAGCAUCCACCAGGACAGUCAAUAGCCUCGCUCUUGAGGAAUGCUAAAUGUUGACAUAUUCAUCAAAAUCAUCAGCACAAGAUAUAAUUAAAAGACUAACUGAAAAGUAUAAUAGAGAACUUGGUUAAACUAUAAUACCGGUUGAAGCCAUCACGAGGACAAGCAAGAGAACGGUGAAGCUGACGGAGUUGAGGUUCUUUGCCAUUUCUUUCUUUUUGUUUUGCUUUUAACUAAAUCUUGUUUUCUCUUCUUUUUUAUUUUCAACAAACUUAACUUUGAUGAUACAAAUCCAUAGGCGUUGUGAUUAUUUAUAGUCAAAACAUUUGCAGCUUAAUUUGUUAUACUUGUUUAAUCCCUCCUCUAGUUUACCCAAAUUCAUAAUGUCACCACUAUUUUGCAUAGUAAUCUUUUUCAUUACAAUAUAUAUAUAUAUAUAUAUGAAUAUUUUUUAAGUCUAUCCAUUUUUAAUCGUGCACUUGUCUUAAAGAAUCAACCAAAAGCAAGGUCAUCUCUGUAACUCAUUAUUUAUAAUUCAAUUUUUUUCUUUAAUUAGUUUGAAAUAGCUAUUGCUUAAAAAUGAUAUUGUUGUUGACUUGUUAUCAUGGAUACUGGAUAGAGUAGUACGAAUCUUGGCGACUUUUUAAUCCAAUAAUGAAAACCAUUUGGCUUCAUUAGUUCAUUAGUAAAUUUUAGGGUUUCAGCUCCAUUGUAGCAUUAUGGCGACACUAUCUUGAUUUUGAGCAUCUCUACCUCGCAACUUUUAUAUAUGCGUGAGUAUAUUAUAAUAAUUUUCUAUAUGUACCAAAUGUGAUAUCAUAUUAACAUAUGUACAUAUAUAUAUAUAUACAUAAGAUUUAAUUAGAGAUGCGUAUAUAAUAAUUAACUAGAGAUUAACCUAUAUGAUAUACGAGAUUACAAUAUCUUAAAUAUUAUCUUAGAAAUUAUUUUCAAUAUCUUGGUUAAUAAAUUUAUUUAUAUAUAUACAUAUGCAUAUACUAACAUCAUAUAAUUAAAUUUACCACAUAAAAUUAUAUUUAUUAGGUUAAUAAAUUUUAUAAUAUCUUUAACCAAUGAUAAUAAACAAUACGGUUAAAGCGGAAUUCAUUUAACCCUUUUACAGUGGACUAAAAUAUUAUUCAUAUUAAUCCACAAAAAUAUAAUAUCGUAAUCAUCAAUUGUAAUUCGCACCGUUUAAAUACUGAGUUUUAUGAUCGGUCAGCGAACUAUAAAAAAUAUCAAUUUUAUCAUAGUAAUGUUGUUGGAGGUGAAAACCAUAUUUCUGGUUUUUUCUGGUAUGAACCGAUAUCAGCCUGAUUAAAUCUGAUUGACGACAGUAGAGUACUAAAGAGAUUAAACCGGUUCAACCUGUGGACCAACAUGAACCCAACAAGAGAAAAAAAGAAAGUUUCCAUUUUUGACUUAUAGAAAAAAAAAUCUCUAAAAAAUCCUAAGUCAAAAAGGAAAAUAAAUGUCUCGGUUAAACUGAUUAUAGGAGUGGAAGUCUCCUUAACCUACUGGUUAAUGAGUUUUUUAAUGCUUUUACAUUAGGAGAACUGGGUUACUAGUCUCGAAAAUUACGUUUUGUUAUUAUUUUGCAGGGUGAUAUUAUAAGAAUGUAUUAAAAAUGAGAGUCAUUUGCGAUUCACAGAAAAAGAGACUUCGAGACUGAGAGCUAAAAAUCAUUUUACUUUUAAUUUUGAGAUCCUUGCUAAGUCCCAGUUUGUUUAUUAUUGUCAGAUAAACAAACGCAGUUGUAUUAAAAAAUCGAAUUUUGGUCUAAAUAAUUGUUAUACCGUUUUGUGUUGAUAUAACAUAUCAAAAAGUGUAUAAGAGCUGCGUAUAAUUAGUUUAUUUUUUUUUAUUUUUUCAGAUUUUAAAUGUUUUCACAACAAAAUUGAUAUUUACAAAUAAGUGAAAAGGUGAAAAACGAUAUAUAUCAUGAAAAACGAAACACAAAGAUCAUCAUAUAUAUUAUAAGCAAAGUAAAAUUUUAGCUUUAAGCCUUUUUAUUCAAUUUUGGAGUGGAUAAUUACUUUUUACCCCUUGGUUAAAUUUGGUUAAAUUGGUUCAAAUUAAGUUUUAUAAAAAAUACAUUAAAAUCGGUUAAAAUGGUUAAAAUUAAGUUUUGUGUAAUAUGGGAGAAAUCGUAGAUUGGUUUUGUGACUAUAAAUAUAUCUUUUCCCCGCAGACGUUAGGGCAUCCCAAUAACGACAUUGGCUUUGUUUCUACGUUGUUGGAUAUUUUUUUAAUGCUUUCCGUCUUUGGUAAAUUUUUUUUCAUGCGUGCCUCUUAAUUUGGUUUUGUGUGCUGUUCGUUGUUCUCCAUAGUUAAUUGAGAAAAUAAUUUUGAUUUUUGGGCUGUGUAAGUGGGUCUAUCUCUAUGAUAUUUGCUAGCUAUCACAUCGUUACUGCUUUGUCGCGGUAUAAUUUUUUUGUGAAUCACGUUUAAGGGUUUGCAUGUUUUGUUUUGCAGCAUUCUGAUUUAGUCUCUAUGCGAUUGUUUUUAUUGUUUUUGAGCGUCAGUCUUUAUCUAAUGGUUUACUUCUUUGAUGUUUCUGAUCUGUUUUUAGAUUGUAAUAGUUUUUUUUUGUUGUUUGUUUGUCGUCUUACUUCCCUUCAUUGUUUUUUUUGCUGCAUAGGUUCUGGCGUUUUGCAGUAGGAUUGCCUACCUCGCUGGUGGUUGAAUUCUACAAUGGUGUUCAGAGGUAAAGUUAUUUAUUUCUAUGUUUUUCUUGUAUUUUGUGAUUGUGUUUUUUAGUUGUAUUUUGGGGAGGUUUGUUCGAUUCAUUUUCUUUCUUUUCGUCUGGGUUUAAUUCAAGUUUUGUGUGGUCAUAGUUAGUAAUUGGAGAAGACAAAACAUGAGAAACAAAAAUAAUAUCAUUCUUGAGGCAUGACUUUGACACAAUCAUCAAAGCUUCUUCUAUGAUAUGUUUUAUUCUGUUCUAUAUGUUUUUUCUUUUUAUUUUUAAUUUCUUCAGUUUCGUAACUUUUUAAGUUUCUCCCUUUAUUUUACGAGAAUAUGAGGCAUGUACUCACCGUUGGAUCGAAAAUUUUAUUAUAUAUGAAUUUAAUUUGUGAUUGCGUAUUUUUAUUCUUUAAAGAAUAAUAUAAUGGUAACGGAGGAAGAAUAAAGAAUCGGUGACAGAAUUUACCUAAACGACUUAGGUCGAGAAGAAGAUAUAACAUGAUGGUAGCAAUAAAGAUUCUUAUAGAAUAAUAUCAUCGAUUAUUUGUGAUAUUCUAUUAUUUGUUUAUUGUCUUUUAGGUUUUUUGGUUAUUAUAAUUAUUCUUAGAUAUAUAUAUAAAUGGCCUAAAAAGUAAUUUAGUGUUUUGUGAUUUUAUAACAUGAAGAAGAAUCUAUCAUCCAUUUGUAUAAACUACGGUGAGGAGAAUUACAAAUGUCAGUGGUUUCUGAGAUUUUCAUAUUUUUUUGGUCUUAUAAGAUUUCUUCUAAAAUUUCUUCUCUUCCUUUGCCCGUUUUUUUUUUCUUUUAUUGCAGUAUCUAAAAAGUUAGUCAUGCGGAAUUAAUUGAUUAGUUUGUUUUUUAGAUUGUGAAGUUUGCUGUGUCAGUGUUCUAGAAACCUACUAGCUGAUCAACAAAGGAACCGGUUAACGAACAAUUUUUUUUUGGAAUCAUACUUGUGGCUAGAGCUACGAGUGAUGUAGGAAGGAGGAUAGUUGAUAUCUGUGAAAAAAAUUGUAGCCUGUUAAAGCAUUGGUCCUAAACUUUCGAUAGAAUUUUUAUUCUUGUGUAUUUCUAAUUUGGGCAACGUGAGCAAUGCCUUUAACUAUUGUGUAAAAUUUCCACAUGUUAGAAAUGAAGAAAAGGCUCAGAUAUCAUUACUAUUUGCUUUUCAACCUGAACUUCAUCAGUUUGUUUCGUGAGUUUCUACCUUCUUUAAAUAUGCUGAGCUGUUUCUGGAGUAGUGGAAAAGUAAAAUAAAUUAUUUUCCUCUGAUGUUCUUUUGGAGUGGUAUAUUUUCUUUCAUUGUAAUUUGUUUGAAUGUCGAAAUCCAUUUUUGAUUUUAUUUAAGUUAUAUGAUUGCAUUUAAAAUGGUUUCAAUGCUAUAAUUUUCAUCAUAUAUACCGACGAGAAGGAGCUGUAGAUAUUAUUAUGUUGAAUCCAAACUCGGGCUAUGAGAUUAUCUUAAAGUCACUAAGAAAAACUAAAAAGAUGAAGACAGAGGAUACGAAGACGAAGAGGUUGUUUCAAGAAGAGGGUACAUGUUAGAACGGUUAGAUAAAUAUGUAUCCAUGUUAUCUAUUUGCUUUUACUUCACCAAAUUCUGUGAAACUGACUGUUUGUGUAAAUAUAGUAAAAGCCAUACAACUAUGAAAAUAUACGUUCAAAAAUUUUCCAAACUUCUAAAAAAUAGUUAGAAGAAAGAAAAUACAAAUGUAAUAGGUAGAUGUGGAAGAAUAAGAAGAAGAUAAUACAAAGAUGAUAGAAGAAAACAAAGAAAAUGAAGUAAAAAAAAUAAAGUCAAAAAAGACAAAAACGAUAAAGAAUAAGUAGGAUUUGAAAACGAUAGAGGAUAAGAAGGAAAAAACAAAAAAUAUAUAAAAAACUAAAAGAUGAAGAAGAGGAAAAAAAAAAAAGAAGAAAUCAAUUAAGAAAAUAAAAAAAAUAAAGAAAAGAAAUAUAGGCGGAUAAGACCAAUUAAGACGGUCUAAGGUAGAAAAAUUAUUUGUCGCAUAAGUAGUACCGUCAUUAAGGAUGCCCAUACCUAACUACAUGGUAGUGAUCUAGGGAACGCAAUUGCUAGAACAAAGAAGAAUCAAAUGACAAAUUUGAAGAAGAAAACAAAAUAAUUAGAAAAAGAAGUCGGAGAAGUCGGAGAGGUCAGAGAAACCAAUACAUAGUAGACAAAAUGGAAGAAGAAAAAUAUGUGGAAAAGUUGAAUAAAGAAGAACAUAAGAUGAAGAAGACAAAGUAGACAAAGAUGAAGUUGAUGAAUGAGAUAAAGAAUUAUUAGAUAAACAAAAAAUCAGAGAAUUAUUGGAUGAAGAAUUUUAAAGAGGAGAAGAUGAAGAAUUUGGAGAAAUGUAGGAAUAAAACAAAAUAGAAUAAUUUGAAAAUGAGGAAAAAGAUAACGAAAAACAAAAAGAUUAGAAAGUUGCAGAGAACGAAGAAGAUGAAGGUGAUGAAGAAAAGAAGAAAGAAAAUAGUAUAACCUAAAAGAACAAGAAGAACAUGAACACAUAACAGAAUGGGAACAAGAAGUACAAAUUAAAGACGAUGAUGGAGAUGAAAAGAAAAUGAUGAAUAAUAAGAAAAUACAGAGAUGCAUAACAAGAAAAAGAAGUAAAAAUCAAAGACGAAGAAGAAAGAAGAGAUAUGGAAAAGAUAAGUGACAAAGAAAAACCAAAGAAAAAAAAGGAAAAAGAAGAAGACGUGAGAGAAGAAGGUGGAAGAUAAUUACGAAGAAUAAAGAAAAGACCGUAAAAAACUAAAGAAUAAAGAAGAGAAAAAAAUGAUUGUAUUUUUUAGUGUUUAAUUUUGUAAGUUAUUUACUUUUGAAUUACUUUUUUUUUAUCAUGUACGUCUUAAGUGGUGGUUUUAAUUCUCUCGAUUUAUAGCAUAAAGUUUGGAUUAUGUUUUGGAAACUUUUCGACCCGCGUAAGCCGCGGGUUAAACACCUAGUUAUAAAUAAUACAAAGAGGAUAAUGUUCCAAUCAUGCUAUUAUCGACUACAAAAUUAACUAAUAGGAGCAGUCUGAUUGCACUGAAUCUUUUUGUUUUUUCUUUUUCCUAUGUAGAAAUCUAAGUAGAAUGAAAUAUUUAGAUUAUAAAAUAACCUCAAUCUACUUUGUUACCUUGGCAAAAAUAAUAAAAAUAUAUAAAGAACAAUACAUUGGGUACGUAGAUUAUUGCAUCUUAGCCAUAUGGAAAUUGUGUUUCCAAAGUGUCUUAUAUGUUUUCUUUCAGGUUAUAGUACUGUUUCCAAAGUGUCUUCUAUGUUUUCGUCCAAGUUUCUUUGUCCAAGGUGUUAUUUUGAUGACAACCAAAAGUCGUUUCCGUUUUUCUUUUCUUUUGCACAUUAUUAAUUGUGUCCUGAAUAAGAAGCAACGGCAUCUAAAAAAAACAUGUCGAUUAUACUAUAUACAUUGCUAUGACUGAGUAGGCCGAUGAUGAAUAUGAUCACUUUUUUCCAUAAAAUCGUACACUGAAGUCUCGCUAAAAAAUUGUUGUGUCUUAUAUCGUUCUCGGUUUGGCCUCAUGAAUAUAUUCGAAUUAAUGUGUGCUACUGCUUGUUUAUUCGUAUUGGAACGAGGAACACAAAACACAAAACGAUUUUCUUAUAUUGUAUAUUGAGAAUAUAAAUAUUAUUUUCAAUGUUUUCUUGUAUUUCAAAUGUAUUUCAGAAGAAAAUAAAUAUCUACAAACUAGUGAAAAGAAGAAAAACUAGCGUGUGGCGAAAUGCCAAAAGCAAAAUUUUUGAAUACAAAACCAGAUUACAAAAUAAUAUGAAAUAUCAAAAUUUUAUACCGAAUUACGAUAAGUGAUUCAAUUGAUGAUAUAGAAAGAGAAUUCUUGGUUCAGUUCUCCACCUUAAGGGCAGUUACUUGAUCCUGAAGUAAACCGAGUCCAAAAUAUUUGAAAUUGAAUGGAAUCAAGCAAAUUAAACGAAAUCAUUAAAAAAUAUUUUUGAACUAGAGAGAUGUCUUUUUUUUCCCUUUUUAACUAAACAAAAGCAGGUGUAGAAGUGAGAAUAAUCUGCAGAUUAAAAAAGUGUAUUAAAGGUUUUGUAUAUUUUAUGCCAAAGUGUGUCAGAAAUCAAAAGUGUAUUAAAGGUUUUGUAUAUUCAUAUGCCAAAGUGGCCUUUCGAUUUAUACAGUUUGUUGUAUACACAAGAAGGAUAUAUACAAAAAUAUAUACAAUGAUAUAUACAAGAAUCAUAUGAAGUUAUUUCAAACCCUUUUUUUUUUUUGUAGCAAUGGCAGUGUUUUACGGUUCCUUCAACUCUCGUAUAAGAGUUGAUUAGAGAUGCGUAUAUGACACGAGCCAGAGCUUUUUAUUAUUGAGAUAAGGGCAUACCUUACUCCUCAGGUUAUCUCCUAUUAACUGUUGUGAUAGAUAAUGAGAGAUCAUUUCAAAUUACUGUCUGCUGCUACUGCUAGUUUAUGCGUAUUGGUUGGUUUUAUAAUUUUGCUACCAUCACGAUAUAUCUGACCAAUUCCCCUAGAAUUCCUACUUUUAAUAUUUUAUUUCAGGUCCUUCCAAUUUUAUAAUGUUGCCACUAUAGUCCAUCACCGUCUUUUUCAACACAUUUUGUUUCCUUUUUUUUUAGUAUAUUCAUUUUUUAAUCAUGCACUUGUCUUAAAUAAAUAAUUAACGAAAGGAAGGUCAUCUCUGUAACUCAUUUUUUAUUUAUUUAAUUUUUCUUUAGUUUAACAUAAUUUUUUUUUUUUUUUGUCGUCGACAUAAAUAUUGUUUAAAUAAUAUUGUUGUUGUCAUGGAUAUAGACACGAAUCUUGGCGACUUUUUUAAUCCGAUAAUUAAAACUAUUUGGCUUCAUUAGUUCAUUAAUAAACUUUAGGGUUUCAGGUGCAUUGUAGCAAUCAUGGCGACACUAUCUCGGUUUUGAACAUCUCCGUGUUGUCUAACUACUAGAUAUGCAUGUGAAUAGUAUUAUAAUAACGUCACAAACGAACAAAAAUGUGAUAUCAUAACGGCAUAUAAGAGUUUAUUAGAGAUGCGUAUGAUUCGUAUUUUUUCUUUUUCAGAUACUAAGUAUGUUUCUCAGCAAAAUUAAUAUUUACAAAUAAGUGAAAAAAUGGAAAAAACGAUAUGUAUUCUGAAAAACGAAGCACAAAGAUUCUAAAUAAUACAAAGACGAGAAUGUUAAUGUUAAUCAUGCUAUUCGACUACAAACUCAACUAAGGAGCAGUCUGAUUGCACUGAUUUUAUCAUCUAUGUCACUGUCCUAUAUCGUUCUCCAUUUAGCCUCAUGAAUAUAUUCGAAUUAAUGUGUGCUGCUACUUGUUUAUUCGUAUUGGAACGAGGAACACAAACACAAAACGAGUUCAGUAUAUUAUAUAUUCAUGUUGAUACCGCGUAUCACACAAAGAAUUUUUAUUGAUGUUAUAGCUGAACUCAAAAUGAGCUGCCUACGUACCUUUGAGAAGGGAUCAAGCUAUUCGUAGUUCUAUUAUUAAAGUUUUGAAUCCCCCUUGAAAGAAGAGAAGUAUCUUCUAUUUAUAGGGUUUGGAAAUCGGUCUUUCUGAACGAUUUCCUUUUUCUACUUGGAUUUGGAUUCGGGAAUAUUUCCUUUUAUUGGAUAAGAUUAAGGAAAUAUUCCGUAAAGUUUAGAUGUUAAUGCCGACAUUGUAAAUCGGGCUUUAGAAGACCAUAAGCUAUUAAUGGGCCGAAUGUCUUUUGGAUAUGAACCAUCGUAAAUCGGGAUCAAUUGGGCCGAUCUCGGUUCAUACCGGACUAAACCGGGGAUGCAGAGUACACCACCAACAGUAAGCCCCCCCCCCUCAGUCCGGUGAUAGAGUAUGUGUAAGAGUUCGGCGGAUUUCAUGAGUAUUUUUAGUCCGGUGUGAAUUGAGAUUGGAGACUUGCGAGGCUGUUAGCUCGGCUUAUAUGAUUUUCAACUCAGUCUAUUGCGAAUUGCGAUAACUCGGCUUACAUUUGCGAGUGUUGAGAACUCGGCUUACGGUGCGAAUCUGAGGUGUUCGGCUUAGUUUGUGCGAGUUAAAUGAACUCGGCCUGGGGGACCCAAGUGAGCUUUCUCGUGCUGGAAGAGUGAAAUUCGAACUCUUGUAAACACACGAUACAGACUCAAGGUUUCCUAAGUCGAACCAGAGUGUGCGAGAUGGGCUCGGCUUAUUGUUCUCGGUGACUUAGGAAUAAGUAAUGCGGGACUGGCCCCGGCUUUAAAAAUUGUGGAUUCUUUCACCACGGCGCCAUGUGGAUGCUUGCGAGACGGAUCUCGGCUUUUUGAGGUUGCAUUGUUGAGAAAUGUUAUCGAACAACUGGCCAGGAAGUCGAUGUAAUACCGAUGAGUUCGGUCGGGACUGCGAACAUGUUAGUUCGGCUUGGAGGGACGGACCCUGAAUUCAUCGGAGCUUGGUUGACGAGGUGGGAUAAGAUGAGCGUUGUGUAGCUCGGUAAAAGAGAUUGUUACUGAUAAACGAUUUGAAAAUUCAAGCUGACGGGUUGAAAGUGACGAACUGAAACUCUGAAUCAAGGCUGAAUCUGAUGAUCUGAAGUUCUGAGCGAAAGUCUGAGUGGAAAUAAAAUUCUGAACCAAGCUGAAUUUCUGAACCAAACUCAAAUUCUGAUUCAAAACUGAAAUUCUGAGAUUCUGAAUUUGAUAAACUCAAGUUGAUGACUUGAAGCUGAAAUUCUGAGCCGAACUGAGUUUGAAUCAAAAAUGAAACUCUGAAAUUCUGAAUUUGGCGAACUCAAGUUGAUGACGAAACCGAACCGAACUGAUUGAACUGAAUUGAUGAACUGAACUCGACGAACUAAAACAGAGAUCUGAAUUCGACGAACUAAAAGUCUGAGCCGAGCUGAAAUCAUAACUCAAAACCGAGCUGACUAAGCUUUGAAUCGAAACUGAAAGGCUGAACUGAAAUUCCAGAGAAACCUCAAACUGAACUGAAAUCCCAACUUUCUGAUAUAGAACUUGACGAGCUGAGGCUGGCGAUAAAGGUGCUGCAGUGUCAGCUCGGAGCUCGUCUAAAGAGAGCUUCCCAUAAACUUUUGCGAACUGAUUUUUCUUCCUAUUUUCGUUUUUUUUUUUUCUCUUUUUUUUUUGGCGAACCGUAGCUCGGCUUGGAAGUACAGACCCUGUGAUAGAAUGGAAAAAAGAUCUCGAUAGAUGAUACCUGGGUUUCGCGGAAGCUCGGUUGGCGAGCUGGUGAGAUUUCAUAGGUGGUGAGAUUUCAACGUUUAGGCAUGAUAACUUCGAGUUUUCGAUUACUUCUUUGAGCUUAAUCUGCAUCUAUUGCUGAAGUGACGUCGUUGGAUCAAUAAUUUUAGUCCUGCGAUGUGUUGAUAAAAAUUGUGAAGAUAUCUAUUUUCUUAGAAAUUUUGGAUCAUAAUACUUAUAGGAAAAGAACUUAGCUUUUUGGUGUUAGUGCUGGAUUGUGGAGCUCGGCUCUUUGAUGUUCAAUCCUUGUGAAGAUCUGAAAUAUUAAGUUCUCUCUCGAUUUACUCUAUCCAUCUCUCGUGAACUGGAUGAGAAACGGAUUGACGAGGUGCUUCCGAACUGGUUUUUAGAUUCCGGUAAAGAGCUGGUGAAGCCGUGCGGCGAGCUGAGAUGACGAUGGUAUCAGCUAGAAGUUUCGACAGAAGAUUAGAACCGAACCAAUAAAUCUUCUUAAUCUCAGUGUAGUAUUUCUAGGAUGUCAUCGGGCAUUGAAGCUUGGGAAUUGUUGCGAAUCUCUGAAGUUUUCCGAGCCCAGAAUGAACAUGAAAGCUCUUGAUGGAGAAUUUCAGGAACUAACUUUCGAAAUCCAAAAAUGGAAGCGACGUGUGUUUUCUCGCCAUGAUAAUUUGAAGCAAGGAAGAAGAAAGAUCUCGGAGGUUCUUUGAUGGAGCUAACGAUGGAGAUGGCUCAGGUCGGGAAAUCUGCUGUUCGCCGGAAGUUGCAGGUCUGAUAGGAGGGUCCCCGGAUUUGACUUGACCGGAACUACAUCUGUUUCACCGUCAAGAGAGGUUUUGAGGACAUCGUGGAGAUGGUUUGGAAUGGGCUAUAGUCUUCAUAUCAAGGGGCCAUAAAGUGGGCCUAAUAUCUCAAGGUUUCAGAUGGGCCAGAGAUUUAUUCAAGCCCAAAAAGAAACCUGAUUUCCUUGCAAUACGAUUUGGUUUUGGUGCAGGUGCGGCGGUGAGUAGCGGUGGCGAAGCCGGAGCUCCUGGAAGCUCGAGUGGUGGCGACGAAUGAUGGGUCUCAGAGUGAGGUGCCUCCUAGCCCCUACUCCCUCCCUUUUUUUUUUAAACAAACAAGCUCGGCUGCUAUGAUUCCACGUGGAUCGUAAGUUCUGUUGGCGCAGAUCUUCUUCUUCCUUUUAUUUUUGUGUGCUUUUUUCUUGGUUUUGCCUUUUGUUUUGAGGCUUGAACAUAGUAUAACGUCUCUUGCUCUGAAUUGCUGUUGAAGACUUGAGUCAGGACGAGCUGAUUUAAAGCUGCGUCGGUGGUGAAGUUGGAGAAGUCUGGAGAAGUUGUGACGACCUCCUCUUCGUCUUUUGCUUUGUUUUUAAUCACAAAUCAAUGGUGAUGAGCUCGGUUUGAGGCGACGUCAAUUGUGAUUAGCUGAGACAACAUUUGAGGAGCUCGGCGAGAUGAUGCCUGUGCAUUUGAGGAGCUCGGCGAGAUGAUGUCAGAAGCUCUGGAUUCUCUCUUGUAAAUGCCAAGCUUUUAUAUCCUUGGUUGUUCCUCUUUCUUGUGCUUCAAAAUCAACUAUCUUCGAGUCGAAAUUCUAGAGUGAACAAACCAAAUCUCCGACGAUAUUUGACGUGAAAGGAGCGGCGUUAGAUUUUGCUGUGCAACUUUCUCGCCACAGUUCUGAAGCAAGGAAAAGGGGAAAGUCUCAGAGGUACUUUGUGAAGUGUUCUUCGUAAAGCUGCUGUUGAUUAUUGUUUCCAGUGGAGCUGGAAUUUUUGGAACGGCAUAGAAGACAAAGCCAGAGAAGAUCCGAUACUGAGUUUCCAAGAGAGAACGGUGAAAAAGCAAUCAUUGAUCGUUGCCGCGAAUGGUUGUCUUUGAUCCGCAUCUGAUUCGGUAUUCAGAAAUUCAAUCAAAUAUCCACAUCGCGAUUGGUUUUCUAGUUAUCGGAGAGAAGUGCCAUUGGGGAAGAUGUUGAAGACCGAUGAGUUAAGGGUGAGUUUGUGAACUGCUCACGAAGAAUUUAGCCAUGACGAACUGAGACAGGGCCAUGGGAGCUCGAUUUUGCAUAUACCGAUCUGACGAGCUCAAGCAGAGCCAACAAACUCGAGCACAAUUUGUAAGGCAACGACUUGAUCGAUGACGUUUUUUUUUUUUUUUUAAUCUUGGAGAAGUUGUGACGACCUCCCCUUCUUUUGCUCUUUUAUCUUUUUUUUUUUUGUAAAUCACAGAUUAAAGGUGAUGAGGUCAUGGAUUCCAUGGAACGUGGUCGUGUAGUAGGCGUCUCCAUAGAGAAUUAAAAACUGAGUCGUCGAGCUCUCGUCGGGUGAGGGAGAGUCUUUGCUUUGCCUGUCAUAGGAGGAAGAGCCGUGUAAAGAAGAAAACCAUAUAAUUUGAUUUUGUGUCAUGAAGCGUGAAUUAGUUAAACAUUACGUUAUACCAAUUGGUUAUUGUAAACCAUUGGUUAUUGUAAAUCAAUAAUAUACCAAACCGUAAGUAAAUAAUAAUUAAGCGUGAAAACUUAGCUUUGUAUUUGACGUCUCGUCGGCGUUGUCAAAGAUCUAAGGUCCUGAUUCGAGAUCAUAAUUGCUAGGCCACGAAAGAGUGGUAGAAAGUUUGACGUAGAGCGCAAAUAACCGAAUUUGUUUAUAUGAUGGAGACGGUCUCGGUUGUGUUGUAAAAGAGCUGUGUAAGUCGUCAAAAAUCAUGGCUGGUAGAGACAACAGAAGAUCAGAUAUAUACUUUUAUCAUCCGUUUUUUUUUUUUUAAAUCUCGACUCCUUCCUUCUAGCGCCAAUUGUUGAUACUGCGUAUCACACAAAGAAUUUUUAUUGAUGUUAUAGCUGAACUCAAAAUGAGCUGCCUACGUACCCUUGAGAAGGGAUCAAGCCAUUCGUAGUUCUAUUAUUAAAGUUUUGAAUCCCCCUUGAAAGAAGAGGAGUAUCUUCUAUUUAUAGGGUUUGGAAAUCGGUCUCUCUGAACGAUUUCCUUUUUCUACUUGGAUUUGGAUUCGGGAAUAUUUCCUUUUAUUGGAUAAGAUUAAGGAAAUAUUCCGUAAAGUUUAGAUGUUAAUGCCGACAUUGUAAAUCGGACUUUAGAAGACCAGAAGCUAUUAAUGGGCCGAAUAUCUUUUGGAUAUGAACCAUCGUAAAUCGGGAUCAAUUGGGCCGAUCUCGGUUCAUACCGGACUAAACCGGGGGUGCGGAGUACACCACCAACAGUUUUACGGAACUAAGCUACUACUGAUACAUUUCAUCAGCCUCAGUCUGCUAGUUUCUUUUUAUCUGCUUCAGCUCGUCAAGUUUUAUAUCAGAAAGUUCGGAUUUCAGUUCAGCUCGGUUUUAGUUCAAAAUUCCAGUUCAGCUCUGAAUAUUAAUUGGGUUUCGAAUCCAGAGCUUCAGUCAAUUUGGUUUUGAAUCAGAAUUUCUGCUCAGUUCAGAACUUCAGAAUUUUUCAGUUCGUCAUCAGAUUUGGACUUCGGAACUUCAAUAUUAUCAGUUUUGUUCAGAAUUUCGAGUUUCAGUUCGGUACAACAGCUCAGUUAGUCAGACAAGUUCAGUUCAUCGACUUGAGUCCGACAUCUCAGAAUACACUCUUCUGCCGAGCUAUACCGCGCUCAAACCUCUUCUAGCUCAUCAACCGAGCUCCUCUGAAAUUCAGGGUCCGUCCCUCCAAGCCGAACUGACAUGUUCGCAGUCCCAACCGAACUCAUCGGUAUUACAUCGACUUCCUGGCCAGUUGUUCGAUAGCAUUUCUCAACAAUGCAACCUAAAAAGCCGAGAUCCGUCUCGCUAACACCCACAUGGUGCCGUGGUAAACUCCACAUCAUAAAGCCGGGGCCAGUCCCGCAUUUUGUAUUCCUAAGUCACUGAGAAUAAUAAGCCAAGCCCAUCUCGCACACUCUGAUUCGACUUAGGAAACCUUGAGUCCGUAUCGUGUGUUUACAAGAGUUCGAACUUCACUCUUCCAGCACGAGAAAGCUCACUUGGGUCCCCCAGGCCGAGUUCAUUUAACUCGCACAAAUUAAGCCGAACACCUCAGAUUCAUACCGUAAGCCGAGUUCACAACACUCACAAAUGUAAGCCGAAUUAUCGCAAUUCGCAAUAGACUAAGUCGAAACUCACAUAAGCCGAGCUAACAGCUUCGCAAGAAUCCACCAAUCUCAGUUCACACCAGACUAAAAGUACUUACGAAAUCCGCCGAACUCUUACAUAUACUCUUUCGCCGGACUGAGGGGGGGGGGCUUACUGUUGGUGGUGUACUCCGCACCCCCGGUUUAGCCCGGUAUGAACCAAGAUUGGCCCAAUUAAUCCCGAUUUAUGAUGGUUCACCUGUAGAAUAUUUCCUGAUCUUAUCCGGAAAAAGGAAAUAUUCUCAGAAGAUAAUUCCUCAAGGAAAAAGGAAGUUGUUCUUAUCUGCUCCAAGAAAUAAGGAAAUCUGCAUUAUCAAGUCAAGAAGGAAAAGGAAAAUCGACCGGUUUCAACCUCUAUAAAUAAAGAGCUCAUCGUUCAUUCAAGGAUUCAUUCAUUCAUAACUCCGCAGAAAACCCUAGAAUACAUCCUAUUUUUCUCUCUGUAAUAUGAACUACGAAUGGCUUGAUCCCUUCUCAAGGGUACGUAGGCAGCUCAUCUUGAGUUCAGCUAUAACAUCAAUAAAAACUCUUUGUGUGAUACUCGGUAUCAACAAUUCAGAACGAAACAAAAGUGCACACAACAUGAGAUCACACCUGGAGGGAGCAAGCAAUGAUAAGCUUUGCCCUUGAUGUUUUAUUGGAAAGCAAAGGAAACUUGAACAUAAACAUACACACAUGCCAUGUCCUCUCACACCGAAUGGAUAAAAGUUACAUUUGGUAAUCAGAUGAUCCUUUUGUAGCAAUGGCAAUGCUUGUCGGUUCCCUCAAUAACCGCCCAACAGACUGGAGGACUCCCGUAUACACGUUUACAACACUCGCAGAAAAUAGAAUUUGUAGUUCCGUGCGCAUCCGGGCACUCGUCGAGGAACGUAAUUUGAGCGGUGCUAGUGCAUGGGUUAGUACCGCAGCCUGAAGCCUCGCUCUUGAGGAAUCCUAGAUGUUGACAUAUUCAUCAAAAUCAUCAGCACAAGAUAUAAUUAAAAGACUAACUGAAAAGUAUAAUAGAGAACUUGGUUAAACUAUAAUACCGGUUGAAGCCAUCACGAGGACAAGCAAGAGAACGGUGAAGCUGACGGAGUUGAGGUUCUUUGCCAUUUCUUUCUUUUUGCUUUUGCUUUUAGCUAAAACUUUUUUUUUCUUCUUUUUCUUUUCAACAAACUUAACUUUGACGAUACAAAUCCAUAGGUGUUGAGAUCUAUUUAUAGGCAAAAAAAUUCAGCUUAAUUUGUUAUACUUGUUUAAUCCCUCCUCUCUUCUCUCAAGUUUACCCAAGUUCAUUAUGUCGCCACUAUUUUGCAUAGCCGUAUUUUUCAUUACACUAUUUUUGUUUUUUUAAGUCUAUCAUUUUUAAUCGUGCACUUGUCUUAAACAAUCAACCAAAAGAGAGGUCAUCUCUAUACUCAAUAUUUAUAAUUCAUUUUUCUCUUUAGUUUGGCCCUGUUCGUUUGUCAGCCGCCUGCGGCCGCGGCUGCGACCUGCGGCUAGACGCUGCGACCAGACGCAGAUGAUUGUUGUUUGUUUGUCAGCCGCGCAUCUGGUCGCUGAAUGAUGCAGCACAAUAUCUACCAUUGUUGCAAGGACAAAGAAAGCUUAAAUGCGAGUUCACUAAUCAGGUCACAGCAAAGAGAAAGAAUAAUCAAAUGCAAAAACAGCCUUAGACCCUUGAACACUCUAAUAUGGUACCAAACACAAACACACACAGACCCAUUAAGUAACAGAUUAGAGAAGGAAAUAACGAAAAUUGAAAAAAAAAGUGAAGUUUUAUAUUUAUAGAUUCGACCUGGGAAGAGAGAAGAGGAUUGAUGGAGUUUGGAAGGUGGGUUUAAAGCCGCUUUUGCUCCCGAUCCAUUAAAAUUUUAAGCUCAGCUGAUGGAGAAGAUGGAGAAGAUGGAGAAGAUGAAUGGGGAAGAAGAGUUUCGGCGCAGAGAGAAAGAUCGACACUUUUUUUAGGGUAAAUGGUUUUUGUAAUUAACAAAUUGUUAUAGGGUUAGUUUUGUAAUUUACAGUUUUAAACGCCGCGUUUUUUGUCGCAACGCUGGAUUUGAUAGCGUCCAAAAAAUUAAAGACACGCGGAACGCUUGGAUGCCGUGUCUGGCCGCAGGAAGCUGCGUUAGAGUAACGAACAACAAUCGGACAGCCGCAGCCUCCUGCAGCAAGCAAACGAACAGACCCAACAUAGCUUUUGUUUAAAAAUGAUAAUGUCAUUGUCAUGGAUAGAGUAAGUACGAAUCUUGGCGACUUUUUAAUCCAACAAUGAAAACCAUUUGGCUUCAUUAGUUUAUGAGUAAACUUUAGGGUUUCAGCUGCAUUGCAGCAAUCAUAGCGACACUAUCUUGAUUUUGAGCAUCUCCAUCUUGCGUACGUAACUUUUAUAUAUGCGUGCGAGUAUUAUUAUAACUUUCCAUAUGUACCAAAUGUGAUAUCAUAUUAACAAAUUACAAACUAGAUAAAUACCUGCAUUGGUUUGUAUCUUGAUAUUUUAUAAUCCCUGAAAUUUUUUUUAAAAAUAUUGCAUAAAUUUAGAAACAAAAAUAUUAAUUAUAUAUAUGUAUGUAUAUAUAUAUGUAUAUAUAUAUAUUGAAUGAAAAUUUAGUGAAGUGAAUGCAGUAAAUAGUUGUGGAUACAACUAUUGAGAUUUUCAUUUUUUUAUAGUGUAAUUGACAUACUAAAGAAUUAUGGUUUUUAUAUAAGUGAGAAAUUGAAAUUUUUUUUUAAGAUUAAUUUCUUUAAUCUAGAUAAAAAAACCUAAAAAUAAUAAUAUUUUAUUUAAUUUACUUAUCUAAUCUGAAAUAUGCUUUUUCUUUUCUUAUAAAAAAGUUUUGGCUUUUUAUUUCAAAUUUUUGUUCAAUUUUCCUAAACCAAGCGUGAUUAUUAUUUUUUAAUUUAUUUAAUACAUGUCAAAAUCUAAUUGAUUUAUUAAAACCUGUGUCAAAAUUAGGUGAGUUAUUAACUUUAAAACAUCUUCCUUUAUAUAAUAAGACUAUAUUUUGCGUUCACGCUACUUGUGGAUAUUUAGUUGAUAAAAAUUAUAUACAAUCAAUUAUAUUUAUUAAGAUAUAAAUUUUAUAUAUGAAUGUUUUAAUAAUACAUAUUAAAAAUAUUAUGGAGAAUUCUAAUAAUUUUACUGUAAAUUGUGAGGUUUUAAUGGUUUUGUUUUGAAUCUAUAUACAAUAUGUCAUAUUUCAAAACGUAUUAUUUGGUCAAACAUUUAUAAGUUAAUGACAUUUUGUGUUUUUCCUUUUGAAAACACAUCCUACUCCUCAGGUAAUCUCCAUCUAUUCUAUUAAAACAGAAACAUUUUUAGUAGUUGCUUCCAAACACUCCUAAUUUUUUUAAAAAAAUUGUUUGGAAAUAGUUUUAAAAUUAUCCUAAAAUCAUCCUAAUUUAUUACAAUAUUAUUUAAAAAAUAUAUAUUUUUUAUAUAUAUUUUUAAUUCCGAAAAUUAGAUAUUAGUUUAGAUAUUUAAAAAUUUCCUUAAAUAUAGGUUAUAUUUAAUUUAAAAUUCAAACUUAUUAAUUUUUGUAAUUAAAUCUAAUUCUGAAUAAUAGAUAUUAAUUUAAAUUACUUUAGACUUCCUUAAAUAUAGAUUUAUUUAAUUUAACAUUUAAAAUUCAAAUAAUAUUUUCAGAACAACACAUAUGAUUAACAAAUACUUUGUUAUAUUUUUUUAAUUAUAUUCAAUCAGACUAAAAUUUCAUAUAUUGAAAACUGAUAAAUAUUAAUAUUAUAUAGUAAUUUGAUGGGAUGUGUUAGGUUUUUUUUAUAAUUAUAGUCUUAUGCGGAUUAAGUUAUCAAAAUAUGCAAGAUAUUAAAAUAAAAAUUAUUUCAAAAGUAGUAAAUAUUUAUAUUAUAUAGUAAUAUGAAUGGACGGGUUAGAAUUAUAGUUUCAUAGCCAUAGUCCUUUUCAGAUUAAUAGAAUGAUCGAAUUAUAAAUAUAUUGUUAUAAUAACAUUUAUUUUUCGAUUAAUAGAAUGACCGGAUUAAAAUUAUGUUUUGAUGAUCGUGGUCAUAAUAAUACUAGAAAAAAAUUUUAAAAUAUACAUAUAGAUUGUUUAUGUGUAAAUUUAAAUUCACAUAAAAAUAAAGUUCAUAAUUAACAUUAGAUCGAUAUAUAUUUAAUUAAUUAAUACUCUUAUUCUACUAAUAUACAAAACUAUACUAUUUAAAGUCAAAACAUAAUAACAAAUUUCUUGAUUUAAAAAAUAAAUAAAUAACAAAACAAAUUAUAUCUAAACAAAAAAUAAAUAGAAGUUAUAUUAGAAACAAAAACAAAAUAUUUCCGUGCGGAUGCACGGAGUCAAAUUCUAGUUAUUUAUUAAAAUAGAAAAUGAGAGGUCAUUUCACAUUUAGUUGUGUUUUAAAUUGUUCUCGGUUUUGUCUCAUUGAACUAUUCGAAUUACUGUCCGCUGCUACUGCUAGUUUAUAUGUAUUGGUUUUAUACUUUUGCUAUCAUCACGAUAAAUCUGACCAAUUCACCUAGAAUUCCCUCUUUUAAAAAAUUUAUCUUUCAGGUCCUUCCAAUUUCAUAAUGCCGUCAUUAUAGUCCAUCGCCGUCUUUUUCAUCAAAUUUUGUUUUUUGAUGGCUAUCCAUUUUUAAUCAUGCGCUUGUCUUAAACAAUCAACAAAAAGAUCAUCUCUAUAACUCAUUUUUAUAUAAUUCAUUUUUUUUUUUAGUUUGAAAGAAUAUUGUUUAAAAAUGAUAUUGUCGUUGUUAUGGAUAUAUAGACACGAAUCUUGACGACUUUUCAAUCCAAUAAUCAAAACCAUUUGGCUUCAUUAGUUCAUUAAUAAACUUUAGGGCUUCAGCUGCAUUGUAGCAAUCACGGCGAAACUAUCUCGGUUUUGAGCACCUCCAUGUUGUGUAACUUCUAUAUAUGCAUGCGAAUAGUAUUAUAAUAACUUCACAAACGAGCCAAAAUGUGAUAUCAUACUAGCAUAUUAGAGUUUAUUAGAGAUGCGUAUAAUUAGUUUAUGUGUUCCUUUUCAGAUUCUAAAUAUGUUUCACAACAAAAUUAGUAUUUACAAAUAGUGAAAAAGGGAAAAUGGAUAUUUAUUCUGAAAAACAGAACACAAAGAUUCAAAAUAAUACAAAGAAGAUUCUAAAUAAUACUUGGACAGCUAGAGCUUUGUCUUUUGCGGGCAGGCUUCAGUUGUUAUCUUCUGUUAUAGCUAGCAUUACGAAUUUCUGGAUUUCGGCAUUUCGUUUACCAUCAAGUUGUAUCUCAGAUAUCGAACGUAUCUGCUCUGCAUUCCUGUGGUCGGGACCUGCGCUUAAUCCUCGCAAAGUUAAGAUUGCCUGGGCGGAUGUCUGCAAACCGAGAGAUGAGGGAGGUCUGGGUUUAAUCAGCAUUCGGGAAGCGAAUGAUGUUUGCUUGUUGAAAAUUGUGUGGAGGCUGGUCACAGCAGAUUCUCUUUGGGUUCGGUGGACUCGAUCAAAUUUAAUGCGGCAUGAGUCUAUUUGGACAACUCCUGAGCCUACAAAUAACUCUCCAGGCUUGUCUAUGUGGAAGCAGAUUUUGAGAAUGAGACUGCAAGCUGAGGGGUUUGUUAAAGUUCAGAUUGGUAAUGGUCGAUCAUCGCUGUUCUGGUACGAUAACUGGUCGCAACAUGGAAAGCUUCUCAAUCUUCUGGGAGCUAGGGGUGUGGUUGAUAUGGGUAUAAGAGACGAGGCGAAGGUUGCGGAGGUUCUCUUAACCCAUCGACGGAGACGACACCGUUCACAGGCUCUGAAUUUGGUUGAAGACGCAAUCGACUCUGCAAAACUAACUUCAUUACAGAGUUGAUACGGAAGAUCAAUUUCUUUGGAGAACUAAGGGUGAUACUUAUCAUCAUGCUUUUUUUUUUUUUUUUUGAAUGAAUGUUAAAUUUGAUUCAACCCAAAAAAAAAACGUUUUUACAUCAAAAGAUGCUAACUAGUGAUAGUUGCAGAGAGAUUUUGUAAAAACCAAAACACUUUUACAAUCGCACUUAAAGUGAAGCAUAUGCUUCGGGUCAUGACGUUGCUUGCGCAGCAAGCCAUCGACGGAGACGACACCGUUCAAGGGGAUACAAAGGCUACUCGUGAUCAAGUCCGAACAAAAGGCCCGAAGACUCUCUGGUCCAAGGGGAUUUGGUUCAAGCAUAACUGUCCAAAGUAUGGUUUUUUGGCUUGGCUCGCAAUACAUGAUUGCCUCUCUACAGCUGAUCGAGUGUCCAGGUGGAGUCCGAAUGCUUCUACGGCAUGUGUACUAUGCCAAGAUCCCUACGAAACACGAUCACAUCUCUUCUUUGCAUGUCCUUUCUCAUCUCAGGUAUGGGAAAAUCUGGCACAGGGAAUUUAACGCCAAGACUUCACAACUGAUUGGUUGGCGAUGGUGAAUCUCAUCUCUCGAUCAUACGGAAAUAAGGUGCAGACGUUCAUUCUUCGAUACCUUUUUCAGAUGACUAUACAUGUUCUAUGGAGAGAAAGAAAUGAUCGCAGACAUGGUUCCACACCAUCUACCGCAAUUCGACUGAUCCGGUUCAUUGACAAGGGAAUGAGGAAUCGCUUCAGCUCUAUUCGUUUACUUGGAGACGCCAAGUACGUAGAAGGUCAGGACUGGCUGGCAUCCAGGCCUAAAUUUCUUAGAUAGCAUAAACAUGAUUUUUUUGAUUUGAUUUUGUAUGUAACCACUAGCAAAGCUCGCAUCAAAUUGAUGUAGAAAAAGAUGUUUUUUUGGAGUUUGAAUAAAUUUAACAUUCAUCCAAAAAAAAUACAAAGAAGAGAAUGCUCUAAUUAAUAUCAUGUUAUUCGACUACAAAAUCAACUAAGGAGCAGUCUGAUUGCAUUGAUUCUUUUUUUUCUUUUUUUUUUUAUUUUUCCUAUGAGUAAAUAUCAGUAGAAUGAAAUAUCUAGAUGUUACAAUAACCUCAAUCUUUGUUACCUUAGCCAAAAUAUAUAUAUAUGAGUCAAGAGAAGAUCAUUGGAUGGUUGCAUUGAGAGUUGUUCGUUACUUGAAAGGGUGUCCGGGAAUGGAAAUUUUGUUGAAAUCUGAUUGUAAUUUUCACAUUUGGCCAUAAGGUUGGAAAGAUUAUUUCAUCUUAGCCAUAAGGAAAUUAUGUUUCCAAAGUGUCUUCUAUGUUUUUUUGAGGUUAUAGUGUUGCGAAUCUCUCGGUUGAUACACUUGUAGAUAGACAGUGUCGGAAGCGAUAACUGAUUCUGUCUGAUUGCAUUGACUUGUUUCCUGAUCAAACUGCUAAUUACUUUAUCAUUGAAUUUGGUCAUACUAGCUUAUAAAAUAGAUAAGUUAACUAUAAGUGUGUUUGUAAAUGUCAGUUGGAAUUAUAGCUAACCGUAAAUGUCAAUUGAAAUUAUCAACGGCUAGUUUUGGUUUAAGAUAACUAUUAAUGUAAGAACACAAGUUUCAGUCUGAUUGCAUUGAUGCAUUUUUAUAAUCUGUGUCGCUCUCUUGUCCAAGUUUCUUUGUCCAACUAGUUAUUUCGAUGACAACCGAAAAUCAUUUCCUUUUUUUUUUGCACAUCAUUAAUUAUGUCCUGAAUAAGAAGCAAUAUGGCAUCUAAAAGAUACUUGUCGAUUAUACUAUAUAUAGUUGCAUGACUGAGUAGGUCGAUGGUGAAUAUGAUCAUUCGCUUUUCCCAUAAAUCGUACACCGAAGCUUCGCUGAAAAAUUGUUGUGUCUUAUAUCGUUCUCGGUUUAGCCUCAUGAAAAUAUUCGAAUUAAUGUGUGCUGCUGCUGGUUUAUUCGUAUUGGAACGAGCUGGAACACAAACACAAAACGAGUUUAUUAUAUUAUAUAUUCAGAAGGAAACAAAAGUACACAGAACAUGAGAUUACACCUGGAGGGACAAGCAAUGAUAAGCUUUGCCCUUGUUGUUUUAUUUGGAAGCAAAAGAAACUUGAACAUAAACAUACACACAUGUCAUGUGCUCUCACACCGAAUGGAUAAAAGGUACACUUGGUAAUCAGAUGAGGUUAUGUCAAAUUCAACCCUUUGUGUAGCAAUGGCAAUGCUUGUCGGUUCCCUCAAUAAUCGCCCAACAGAUAUUUGCACUCCCGUAUGCCUUUAUACAACAGUCGCAGCAAAUAGAAUCAGUAGUUCCGUGCGCAGCCGGGCACUCAUCGUGGAAAGCGAAAGGAGGGCAGGUUAGAUCACCGCACUUAAUAGCCUCGCUCUUGAGGAAUCCUAGAUGUUGACAUAUUCAUCAAGAUCAGCACAACAAGAUAGAAUUAAAAGACUAACUGAAAAGUAUAUAGAGAACUUGGUUAAACUAUAAUACCGCUUGAAGCCAUCACGAGGACAAGCAAUAGAACGGUGAAGCAGACGGCGUUGAGGUUCUUUGCCAUUUCUUUCUUUUUGCUUUGCUUUUAACUAAAACUUGUUUCUUUUUCUUCUUUUUCUUUUCAAAAAACUUAACUUUGAUGAUACAAAUCCAUAGGUGUUGUGAUAUAUUUAUAGUCAAAAUUUUGCAGCUUAAUUUGCUAUACUUGUUUAAUCCCUCCUCUCUUCUCUCAAGUUCAUAAUGUCGCCACUAUUGUGCUUAUCCGUUUCUUUCAUUACAUUUUUUUUUUUUAUGUCUAACCAUUUUUAAUCGUGCACUUGUCUUAAACAAUCAACGAGAAGAAACGUCAUCUCUCUCGAACUCAUUAUUUAUAAUUCAUUUUUUUCUUUACUUUGAAAUAGCUAUUGUUUAAAAAUGAUAUUGUUGUUGUCAUGGGGCGAAUUUUAAUCCAAUAAUGAAAACCAUUUGGCUUCAUUAGUUCAUUAGUAAACUUUAGGGUUUCGGCUGUAUUGCAGCAAUCAUGGCGACACUAUCUUGAUUUUGAGCAUCUCCAUCUUGCGUACGUAACUUUUAUAUAUGCGUGCGAGUAUAUAAUAAUAACUUUCCAUAUGCACCAAAUGUAAUAUCACAUUAACACUUUGCAUAUAUAUAAAAGAGUUAACUAGAAAUGCGUAUAUAAACUAUUAUGAUUUUUUUUUUUUCGUUUUCAUUUCAAACUCCAAAUACAUUUCGCAACAAAAUGAGUAUUUACAAUAUAUAAAUGGGAAAAAGGGGGAAACGAUAUAGUGAAAAACGAAAGUGCACACAACAUGGGAUCACACUUGUGGGGUGCAAGCAAUGAUAAGCUUCUCUCUUUGCUCAUCUAUUUGUUGUUCACAAUGUAAAGAUAAUACAACCUUAAAAGCUUUGUUUCAAUAGAGUUUAUCUCUCUUCUUGAUUGAUCUUUAUUUGUUCUUUGUCUUUUACCUCUUAGCUUGGCCAAUUUUUUUUUUCUGUUUCUUCCAUUCACCAAAUAAACAAAAAAAAAUUCACUCUGAUUUUACUGUCCAAGAUUUGGUCAGUAUAUGGUAAAUACCCAAAUUUGAAUGUCGGCCGGAAUGGAAUAAGGAACAUAGAAACAAAUCGAGUUUAUAAUCUAUUGAGAAUGAAACAAAAGUGUACACAACAUGAGAUUACACUUGGAAGGCAAGGAAUGAUAAGCUUUCCCUUAAGUAUAUAUGUGAAGUUCUUUUAGUUUAACUGAUGUGCGACACAAAAAAAAAAACAUGAAAAACAUUUAAUCCAAUUUAUUAUAAUCUGAAAUAUAUGAAAUGCAAUUAAUUUUGAAAAAGGAAAUUUAAAUAUAAUAUAUUUAUCGUUAACAUUAUAUUGACAUAGAUAACAUGAGCCAGAGCUUUUUAUUAUUGAGAUAAGGACAUAUCUUACUAAGGUUAUCUCCAUUAUUUAUUGAAACAGAAAAUGAGAGAUCAUUUCAACUUUAGUUUUGUUUGUAAUUUCUGUAGGUUUUUAACAAAAAAAAAAAAGAGAAAAGAAUUGGUUUAGUCUCAUGAUAUUAUUCGAAUUACUGUCUGCUGCUACUGCUAGUUUAUGCGUAUUAAUUGGUUUUAUACUUUUGCUACCAUCACGAUAAUUCUGACAAAUUUCCCUCUUGUAAAUUUUUUAUCUUUCAGGUCCUUUCAAGUUCAUAAUGUCGCCACUAUAGUCCAUCACCGUCUUUUUCUUCACAUUUUUUUUAAGUCUAUCCAUUUUUAAUUAUGCGCACUUGUCUUAAACAAUCAACAAAAGUAAGGUCAUCUAUGUAACUUAUUUUUUUAUUUGUUUAUUUUUCUUUAGUUUGAAAUAAAUACUGUUUUAAAAUGAUAUUGUUGUUGUCAUGGAUAGAGUAGGCACGAAUCAUGGCGACUUUUUAAUCCAAUAACUAAAACCAUUUUGCUUCAUUAGUUCAUUAAUAAACUUUAGGGUUUCAGCUGCAUUGUAGAAAUCAUGGCGACACUAUCCCGAUUUUGAGCAUAUCCGUGUUGUGUAACUUCUAUAUAUGCAUGCGAAUAGUAUUAUAAUAAUUUCACGAACGAACAAAAAUGUGAUAUCAUAGACUCAUAGUAGCAUAUAAGAUUUUAUUAGAGAUGCGUAUAAUUAGUCUAUUUUUUGUUCUUUUGUUUCAAAUUCUAAAUAUGUUUCACAAUAAAAUGAAUAUUUACAAAUAAGAAAAAAAAAAGGGAAAACGAUAUAUAUUAUGAAAAACAAAACACAAAGAUUCUAAAUAAUACAAAGAGGAGAAUGUUCCAAUCAUGCUAUUCGAUUACAAAAUCAACUAAGGAGCAGUCUGAUUGCACUAAUUCUUCUUUCUUUUUUCUUUUUCCUAUGAGUAAAUAUAAGUAGAAUUUAGAUUUUACUAUAACCCCAAUCUACUUUUUUACCUUGGCAAAAAUAAUAAAAAUGUAUAAAGUAAAAUACAGUUGGUAGAUUAUCGCAUCUAAGCCAUACAGAAAUUAUGUUUCCAAAGUGUCUUCUAUGUUUUUUGGAGGUUAUACUACUGUUGGGAAUCUCUCGGUUGAUACACUAGUAGAUAGACAGUGUGGGAAGCGAUAGCUGAUUGUGUCUGAUUGCAUUGAUUAGUAUCCUGAUCAAACCAUUAAUUAUUUUAUUAUUGAAUUUGGUGUAAAUGUCAGAUGAAAUUAUAGUUAACCGAAAAAAAAAAAAUUAUAGUUAACCGUGACUUGUAAGGUAAGUUUGGAUAGUUUACACUUUCACUUUCCGAAAGUUAUCAACGGUUAGUUUCGGUUUAAAAUAACUAUUAAUGUAAGAACACAAGUUUCAGUCUGAUUGCAUUGAUUCGUUUUAAUAAUCUGUGUCGCUGUCUCGUCCAAGUUUUUUUGUCCAAGUAGUUAUUUUGAUGACAACCAAAAGUCGUUUCCUUUUUUCUAUUCUUUUGCACAUCAUCAUGUCCUGAAUAAGAAGAAAUAUGGCAUCUAAAACAAACUUGUCGAUUGUACUAUAUAGUUGCAUGACUGAGUAGGUCAAUGGUGAAUAUGAUCUUUCGCUUUUUCCAUAUAUCGUAUACCGUGUUGUGUCUUAUAUCGUUCUCGGUUUAGCCUCAUGAAAAUAUUGGAAUUAAUGUGUGCUGCUGCUUUUUUAUUCGUAUUGGAACGAGGAACACAAACACAAAACGAGUUCAGUAUAUUAUAUAUUCAGAACGAAACAAAAGUGCACACAACAUGAGAUCACACCUGGAGGGAGCAAGCAAUGAUAAGCUUUGCCCUUGAUGUUUUAUUGGAAAGCAAAGGAAACUUGAACAUAAACAUACACACAUGCCAUGUCCUCUCACACGGAAUGGAUAAAAGGUAAUCAGAUGAUCCUUUUGUAGCAAUGGCAAUGCUUGGGAAUGUCGCUUCCCUCAACAGCCGCCCAGCAGACUGGAGGACUCCCGUAUUUGUUUUUACAACAGGUGCAGCAUUCAGCAUUGGUCUUUCCGUGCGCAUCCGGGCACUCGUCCAGGAACGCAAUUUGAGCGGUGCUAGUGCAGGGGUUAGUACCGCAGCCUGCAGCCUCGCUCUUGAGGAAUCCUAGAUGUUGACAUAUUCAUCAAGAUCAGCACAACAAGAUAGAAUUAAAAGACUAACUGAAAAGUAUAAUAGAGAACUUGGUUAAACUAUAAUACCGGUUGAAGCUAUCACGAGGACAAGCAAGAGAACGGUGAAGCUGAUGGAGUUGAGGUUCUUUGCCAUUUCUUUCUUUUUGCUUUGCUUUUAACAAAAACUUGUUUUUUCUUCUUUUUCUUUUCAACAAACUUAACUUUGGUGAUACAAAUCCAUAGGUGUUUGUGUUCUAUUUAUAGUCAAAAUUUUGCAGCUGAAUUUGUUAUACUUGCUUAAUUUCUCCUCUCUAGCUUACCCAAGUUCAUUAUGUCGCCACUAUUAUGCAUACCCGUCUUUUUCGUUACAUUUUUUUUUUAGUCUAUGCAUUUUUAAUCGGGCACUUGUCUUAAACAAUCAACCAAAAGAGAGGUCAUCGUCUCUGUAACUCAUUAUUUAUAAUUCCUUUUUUUUUUCUUUAGUUUGAAAUAGUUAUUUUUAAAAGAUGAUAUUGUUGUUGUCAUGGAUAGAGUAACUACCAAUCUUGCCGACUUUUUAAUCCAAUAAUGAAAACUAUUUGGCUUCAUUAGUUCAUUAGUAAACUUUAGGGUUUCAGCUGCAUUGUAGCAUUAUGGCAACACUAUCUUCAUUUUGAGCAUCUCGAUCUCAAUCGUGCGUUCGUAACUUUUAUAUAUGCGUGCGAGUAUUAUAAUAACUUUCUAUAUGUACAAAUGUGAUGUCAUAUUAACAUAUUUAAAAGAGUUAACUAGAGAUGCGUAUAUAAUAAUUAAUUAUUAUUUUGUCAUUCCUUUUCAUUUCAAAUUCAAAAUGAGUAUUCUUUGCUUACAAAGAAGUGGUAAAAAAAGGAAAAACGAUACCGUGAAAAAUGAAAGUGCACACAACAUGAGAUCACAUUUGAGAGUGCAAGCUAGCAAUAAUAAGCUAUUAAGCUUUGCCCUUGAUUUUUUUUAUUUGGAUGCUAAAGAAACUUGAACAUAAACAUACACACAAGUGGCUUACCUUCUCCUUUCUAUUUUCCAGAUGUAGUCAGUUUUGGAAUACACUGAUAAAAACCCUUAAAACAGAAAUCAUGAGAGCUCAAUACAUGUAAAAACACACAAACAACCUCUCAGUUUCUCGACUUUCCCUUUUAUUCCUCUCUCUACCAUUUCCUCAUUAUCUUCAAUCUAGGAGCUUCUCGAUCUCUUUGCUUUCGUGUUCAUAAUAGUUUUCUGUAUAUAAGGAUAACACAACCUUGAUGCUUUGUUUCUAUAGACGUCUUGCAUGAUUACGUAGGUCGAUGGUGAAUAUGAUCAUUCGCUUUUUCAACAAAUGGUACGCCGAAGCUUCGAGUAUUAAUUGAAAUUUGUUGGAUGAACGAUUUAAGAGGUGGUUAAUGGUUACACAUUUUUCCAAGGAGAUUGCAAACAGUUGAUUAGAGAAUAAGAGCAUAUAUAAAAGCAAGCAAAUUAAUAUUCUCUAUUCUAUAAUAAGUGAUGUUUUAGAGGUUUUUUUCCAGUGAUGUUCUCACAAAUCUAUACAAAAUUCAUAUUUUUAUUAUUUUUAUUAUUUGUAGUCUGCAUACUAUUUUUUAUUGUUAAAUUAUAUUGAAAUAUAUAAUAAAAUUUAGUAUAAAAAAUAAUUAAUUGUUUUCUUAAUCUGUAUACACAACACUAAAACAUUACUGAAAGAGUAUUAUCACGGGUCCGGUUUCAUCCACUUCGCCAGAAAACUCGCAAUCUCUUCCUCAUCUAAAGUUUUAUUGUGUCUUAUAUCGUUCUCGGCUUAAAAUUACUGCCAAUUAGUUUGUGCUGCUGCUGGUUUAUGUGUAUUGGAACGAGGAACACAAACACAAAACAAGUUUAUUAUAUAUUGAGAAUGAAACAAAAGUGCACACAACAUGAGAUUACAAUUGGAGAGCAAGCAAUGAUAAGCUUUGCCCUUGAUGUUUUAUUUGGAAGCAAAAGAAACUUGAACAUAAAUAUACACCGUACACGCAUGUCAUGUCCUCACACCGAAUGGAAACAAAAGCGACAUUUGGUAUUUACAUGAGAUUUUUUCAGGCCUUUUGGUAGCAAUGGCAGUGCUUGUCGGUUCCCUCAACAGCCGCCCAACAGACUGGAGGACUCCCGUACUUGGCUACGCAACAGGCGCAACAAUCAACAUCUGUCCCUGGGUACGGCUCUGGUGGGCACUCCCCAAGGAACGCACGUGAACUGGGCGUAGAGCAUCCACCAGGACAGUCAAUAGCCUCGCUCUUGAGGAAUCCUAGAAGUUGACAAAUUCAUCAAGAUCAUCAGCACAAGAUGUAUUUAAAAGACUGACUGCAAAUGAAGUNNNNNNNNNNNNNNNNNNNNNNNNNNNNNNNNNNNNNNNNNNNNNNNNNNNNNNNNNNNNNNNNNNNNNNNNNNNNNNNNNNNNNNNNNNNNNNNNNNNNNNNNNNNNNNNNNNNNNNNNNNNNNNNNNNNNNNNNNNNNNNNNNNNNNNNNNNNNNNNNNNNNNNNNNNNNNCAAAUCCAUAGGUGUUGUGAUCUAUUUAUAUUCAAAAUUUUGCAACUUUGUUAAACUUGUUUAAUCCAUAUAUGCUCUCUUCUUUCUGGUUUUCCCAAGUUCAUAAUGUCGCCACUAUUGUGCAUUGCCGUCUUUUUCAUUAAAUAUUUUUUUUUCAUGUUUUCAAUCAUGUACUUGUCUUAAUAUUUAACUAAAAGGAAGGUCACCUCUUUAACUGGUAUUUUAUAUUCAUUGUUUUCUCUUUAUUUUGAAAUGGCUAUUGUUUAUAAAUGAUAAUUGUUGUUGUCAUAUAUAUAUAAUUAAGAAUGGCUUGGCUACUUAUUGAUAAUGAAAACGAUUUGGCUUCAUUAUUUCAUUAUAAAAUCUUUAGGGUUUCAGAUGCAUUGUAGCAAUCAUGGCGACACUGACUGGUCCUUUUGAUUUUUGUGCAAUUUCGUAUUGCAUAAUUUCUUUAUAUGGAAUAUUAGUAGAGAUUUUGAAAUUUUCUUUUAAACUGAAUAGAUUACUGUGGUUAUUAUGGUUAUUUGAGAGAUUAAAACACACUCCUGAUGUGAAUAUUAUACAACUGUUCCAAUAAAUUACAAAAUUCUCCAUCUCCAAAAAUCUAAAGACUUUGAUGAGAUUUUCUGUGUUUUGUUUGAAGCCACUAAAGAACAGAUCAUACCAUUACCAAUACCUGUUUUUUCUUUCUGACAUUAUCUCUUAUGGUUUUUCUUCAUUUUUGAGUGGUACCUUAAACCUGAAAUUGUCUACCAGAACUCAACUAAAACCGAGACUUAACCGGGCAAAUAUCAUAAAUAAACCUUUAGGCUUUCAGCUGCAUUGCAGCAAUCAUGGCGACGCCGUAUUGCGUUACUCCGUAUAUGCGAGUAUUUAUAUAAUAACUUUCAAGCUGAGUUAUUAUAUAAACAUAUAAGAGUUAGUUCGAGAUGCGUAAAUUACACGAGAUAGAGCUCAUUAUUGAAAGAGAAAAUUUCAUAUAAAAUCUUCAACUUAAUUUCAAUAAAUUUUUUAAAUUUUUAACUUUUCGUGUGUCCAAAAAAAACUUUAAAUAUUUUUCUACCCAUUUCAAAUCCUCAAUUGUUAUCUUUAUAAUUAGUUUACACUGUAUACAAAACGACACUAAAUGAAAAUUGGAACGCUGUUCGAAUCUCGUUAAUAAACGAACUACAGUAACUCGUCGUGAUUAAGCAAUGAUUUACAUAAAACUUGAUAUAAACUAAAUCUCGACAAAAUUGAAGCAAAAUCUCCAAAAAAAUUGAAAGCAAAAUGAUCACAUGGAUAACAAUUGGCAAUUUAAAAUGGAUAGAAAAAUGCCUGAAGUUUUUUCUGGACACAUGAAAAGUUGAGGAUUUAAAAAGCUUAUUAAAAUUAAGUUGAAGAUUUUAUAUGGAAUUUUCUAAUAUUGAAAUGGAAAUGAGAGAUCAUGCCAAAUUUUGUUGUGUCAUAAAUCGUUAUCAGUUAUUCUAGUUACUGACUGCUCUGCUAGUUUAUGCAUAUUGGUUUUGAAUUAUUUGACCCCCCUUGUGGUUUUCUUACUAAUUUUUUUCAAUCCCCCUUUUAAAAUUUUUUUCUUGAUUCAAUCGAUUAGUAAGGUUUUAGGUUAUAUUUGAGAGAAUAAAACACACUCCUAAUGUGAAUCUCAUACAAGUUACAAGUGUUCUAAAAUGUGAUGAACAACGUAAAAAGUCUCCUACUCCAAUAAAUCUAAAGACUUUGAUGAGCUUUUCUGAGUUUUAUUUGAAGCCACUAAAGAACAGAUAAGGCAAUAUGGUUUUAUUCAUUUUUGAAUGGUACCUUAAACCUGAAAUUCUGUAUCAGAAUUCAGCCAAAACCGACACUUAACCGGGAAAUUAUCAUAGUAUUGGCUUCAUGUGUGUGUGUGUGUUUUUUUUGGGGGGGGGGGGGGAGUGGGGUUAAUAUGGCUUCUCGUAUUGAUGAUAUCUAAAGAGUCAUUUCUUCUGACAACUUUCUUGGUGUUUAUGAUGAUAAAUUGAUACCAGCAAAAACCGAGACUUAACCGGGAAAAUAUCAUAGUGUAUUUGGCUUCAUAUGUUUUUUUUUUUUUUUCUAUUUUUGGUUAAUUUGGCUUCUUGUAUUAAUGAUAUCUAAAGAGCCAUUUCUUCUGACAUCUUUCGUGGAUUUUAUGAUGAUAAAUUGAUAAUGGCUACACUUCACUUUCAGUGGUCCAUAAAUAAACAUACACACACAAGUGGCUUACCUUCUCCAUUCUAUAUUUCCAGAUAUAGCCAUUUCUUUGAGAUUCAUAGACAAAAACCCUUAAAACAGAAAUCAUGAGAGCUCAAUAAAUGUAAAAACACACAACCAACCUCUCAGUUUCUCUACUUUUCCUUUAAUUCCUCUCUCUAUCAUUCAUUUAUAACCUUCACUCCAGAAGCUUCUCUCUUUGCUCAUCUCUUUGUUGCUCACAAGAGUUUUCUGUAUAUAAGAAUAACACAACCUUGAAGCUUUGUUUCAAUAGAUUUUAUGCCUCUUCUUGUCUGAUCUUUGUUUGUUCUUUUGUCUUUUACCUCUUAGCCUAUGCUUUGUCUGUUUCUUCCAUCAACCACAUAAACAAAAAGGAAACCUCAUCUUUAACCAAUUGUUUAUCCAAAAUAAAAGAAAAAGCUGAAGCUUGUAGUCAUGAAAAAGAAACUGAUAGUGCUUAUGUUACUUCUGCAACUUCUGGCCUUGAACUCUCUUUCUCUGAGACAGUCUUCAUCGAAACCAAAUGCAAAGAUCACUGUAAUGGGUCUUGUUUACUGCGACGUCUGCUCUAACAACAGUUUCUCCAAACACAACUACUUCAUGCCCGGUAAAGAAACAAAUCAAAAUUUCUCAAAAUUGUUAGAUCCAAGUUGAAAUGUCUCUCACUUUUGUUUCAGCUGAACAAAAACAGGUGUGGAAGUGAGAAUAAUCUGCAGAUUCAAUGCUGCUUCGUCAAGAACUAGAGAGAUGAUAACGUUCUCUGCAAAUCGAACAACGAACGAGCUCGGACUCUACAAGCUAGAUAUAACGUCUCUAGAAGGCGUUGCUUGCGCCGCAGAAGCAGAUAAAGGUUCUCUUAUGGCUUCUUGUCAGGCAAGCUUGAUUGGUAGCUCCUCGGAUUCCUGCAAUGUUCCUGGCUACAAAACUACAACGGAUCAGGUUGUGUUUAAGUCCAAGAGGUCUAAUCUCUGUGUCUAUGGGUUUACAGCUUUGAAUUUCAGACCGUUUAAGAAGAAUCUUGACUUGUGUGGCAAGCAAUAGAAAAGAAAUUGCCAAAGUCACUGUUCGUUUCUACUCUAACUAUGUGCUUCAGACAAAAUUACUGUGUUCUGUCUUCUUAUCCUCUGUUUUUUUUCUUUGGACUUCGUUUAGACAGCUUAUUUAUAUAAAAUAUCUAGUUUUGAACAAAAAAGGCCUCAACAUUCCAAAAACAAAUCAAGUAAUAAUAUAGAAAUUUUACAAUAUCGUUGAAAUAAUAUAAAUUUAUGGUUGAAACUUGAUGCAAGAUAUCAGACAAGAUUAAGAUCAAGAUAAUAAUAAUAAUUCAGCAGAAAAAAAAAACAAAGGAAGCGAGAAAACAGAGUAAAACGAAAAGUUUUCUGACAAUAAUUGCCAGAUAUUUGUCUUUUUUUUGUCUUUUUCAAUAUUAUAUCUGUAAAAACUGUUCUUGAAACACAUCCAUGGCUGAAGUAGGAAGCCCAAGAAGCACAUUGAUGCUUCUCCUCUGUUCUCCAUGAGACAAAAACAGUGUCACUUCUUUCUCAGGUAAAGCUACUGGACCGGACAAAACCGGUUCUCCCCAACCGAAAUCUGUGGUAUGAAAACCCAAUCUUGACCAUGUUGUUAUCAGAAGAGUCGAGGAAAGAGAAGGUCUUGCUCUUGUGACUUCGAAGUAAUCAAUCGCAGAUCUCAUGUAUCCAUCAGUGACCAUCUUAAUCGCUUCUCUGACUAAUCCAACAGCGAAACUCAACGGUUUCUCGGUUAGCUCUCCAGCUUCACAGAUAGAGUUUGUGAGAACAAUUCCAUUCCCAAAAUACCCUUUUGGCAAUUGAGGCUCAAACUUGGCUCUACCAUCGACGGCAAAGAGAAGCUUCGUUUUCUGAUCAGUCAACAUCUUCAAUGACUUGGUUCUUGCUCUCCAGACAAAAGCAGAUAAAGCCUCAAAAGUUGUGCAGCUAUUACCUAGAAGAGAUUCACUGUUCUCUGUUGCUUGGAUCUUAAGUUUCUUGAUUUUGUCUGGAUCAAAGCAGAAGGAUCUGUAGAGAGUUGGCUCUUUGGUGUAAAGAGAGUUGAUGUUGGAUUUAUCUUCAAUCUCUUCGAAUUCCUGGUGAAGAUUCUCGAUCAUUGGAGGGUUACGAGCACUGAGAAUGGUUCUGUCUGAGAAUGGAGGAGUUGUUAAUGGUAAGCCUCUAGCGACUUGACCCCAUGAGUUAACAAACUCCAUAGCUCCAAUACCAUCAAACAUACAGUGAUUCAUACAGAGUCCAAGAACAAACCCUCCACACUUGAAUUUUGUCACCUAUAUAAAAACCCUAACAAAUCAGAUCUCAACUCUUUAAACCCUAAAUACAAAAACAACAACAAAAAGUUACUUGAGGAGAAAGAAAACUAAACCUGAGCAGUAACAGGAGGAAUUUCAAGAAUGUUUUUAGCGUCAACAACAUCGUAGACAAGUUUCCCUAGAGUUUCAGGGUCCGGUUUCGUGAUGUCACCGAUCUCAUCCAUUUUACAGUUUGCUUCUGCUUCCACAAACACAACUCCUUCUUCCGUACAGUCCACUGUGAGUUUACCUGAAUUUACAAACCAUUAAAGACAUUAACUGAUGUUGUUGUCUGAGUUUAAAUAUCGACAGAGACUGAAACCUAAGUGAUCAUUAAUUGUCUUUAAUCAUUUACCUUCAGGACUUAUGGUAAGACGUCCAGCAAGAGGGUAGUAAUGAACAAGAACCUGACUCAAAGCUUUCUUAAUCACUUGGACUGCUUCCUCGUUUCCUCUCUCCUCAGAUUUGAAACAGUAGAUAGUACGGACGAUCACGGCGAUGUUCUGAUCAAGAUUCGACAAGAAGUAGAGACCCUUUCUUGUCUCGGAUUCGGGUUUGACCAAAGCUGGUUCCUUUUGAAAAACCUCAAGAUGAAACUUAGUUCCUUUCAUGUUGUUGUUGUUGUCGUCCAUUGAAGCAGAGAGUGUUACUUCCUUGUUGUUGUUCUCCGCAACCUGAAGAACCAAAAAGAAGAGUGAAUACAUGAAAAAAUCUUUGAAGACUUUGUAAAACAAAACAAGAACAUAAUGAAAAACAAUAACACAAACCAUUUUUUAUUCAAAUAGAGUUAUGAAGUCGAGUUGGAUUCUCAUGAGAUAUAUAUGGGGAAAUCAAUGAGGAUUAUCAUGGGACCCGCAAGUUCAUGGGACCCGCAAGUUCAUAGAAAUCUUGUCUUGUUAGAGGAGAAACGUGAGAAUUAUGUGAAAGUUAGAAUACUUGGACGGCCUUGCUUCAUUUAAUAAAAAUGAGUUCUAUUGACUAAUAGUAGUAUUUCUUUAAUUUUUCUUUUAUUAAUAUUUAUAUAUAUAUAUAUAUAUAUAUAUAUAUAUAUAUAUAUAUAUAUUGGAUUUUAACGUAUUUCAUUUAGUUAGUGUUAGGUGACUGAAUAAAUGACCUAACACAACAAACACUAAUGUGUUUUUUUUGUUAGUUGAGAGUAGGCCUCCCAAUUUUUGGAUGACUUCUUAGUUUUCUUUCUCUUUGCCAUUUAUCUUUACUCUUUACGAUAUUUUCAUGGAUAUACUAAAAGAAUUCAAUUAGAUGUCAUCAUGCAUAUUCUCUUUCUCGAAGAAAACUUCAACCAUACAACACAAAAUUUCACAUUUUUCAAGAAUAGAUUCUGUAUGGUUAAGAAAACCAAAUUUUUGAGAAGUUUUUUCAAUUGGAAUAUAUUAGUCUAUGUCAAACAACGGUUCUUGUACACUUGACGAAAUGCGAUCUGGAUGAUCACGAAACUCAAUCACUCAAAACAACUAAAAUUGUUGAGUCCAAAACGUAAGAAUGUUCUAUGUGAACAAAAAAAAAAGAAUGAUACUGUAUAUGGGAAAUCUAAAAACUAAUAAACGCCAUGAGCUCCUAUAAGAGUUUACACAUAUUCUUGUUUUAAUUAGUAUGCGAAUUUCUUAAAUCUAAAAUGUCAUAGAAUUCUAGAAAGUAUGUAGAAUAUAGAAAUAGAAGUUUCUACGUACAUGUACAUUAUCUUAAGAGUUAUUUAGACGCAGGACUGGAUCUGGGGACAGCCUGAUGAAACAUUCGCCUAUAGUCCCCAAAAUUUUUCUUUGGUUAUUUAUGAAUUUUUCGGCCCCUAAAUCAUACAAAAAAAAAUUGUUCUUAAAUUGUUUAUAGCCCCCAAAUUCUCAGAUCCGACCAUGUUUAGAUGACGUUGUUUUCGGUUAAAAAAAAAGAAUAAUAAAUAGAUUCUUCCCAUUAUAAUAUAUAUAAACACUUAUGUUGUUCAAAUUCUGUAGUUUUUGUAAUUCCUUGUUUGUCUCUUCUUGGCUGGAGAAGGUUUAGGUUACCGAAUCAAUUAAGAAAGGAGGGACCAGAGAGAAUCACAUAUCUCCCACCGCCAAGUAGAAACGCAUCUUUCUCUCUUUCAUAUUAAUCGAAGCCAACGUAUUUGUUGACCAAAUUUAUUCAACGUUUUAAUUUUUUUCUUUUUCUAUUUGACCAAAUAACGUAACUUGAAUUCCACCGUACAAGUAUCUCAUAAAACUGCAAAGCAUGGUCUUCCACAUAUAGAACCAAAAAACUCGAACCUUAAAACAUACAAUAUGUGAAUCCAGAACUUUCAGCUAGUUAAAAAACCAAAAAAAAAAUCAAAGUUAACUAACAAUAGAUUUUUGAAAUCACUCCUAAAUCUUUGUUAUUUUUUUCGGUAAAAAAAAAAUAAAUAGUUUUCAUAACAAAUUAAUAUGAAAGUAUUUUUAUGACCGAGUCCAUAUCCAACGCAGUAAAUUUUAACAUUUCGUGUUUGCUUAGUUUUUGAUUAGUACUAAAUUUUAGUAUAUGUUUUGCUACUUACAAUUAUUUUGAAUCGGACUGAAGCAUACAACGAAUCAAAGCGGAUUAUGCCUGGCCCUAAUGACCUAAUCAAAUGAAUCAAGUUGAAAUUUUGUUUCAGAUUAGUUCUUGAUCGUCUCUGCCAUUGAGGCAUCAAUGUAACAGUAUCAAACAAGUACUUACAGAUUAAGGGACACAUAGUGCAAAUUCCUUGUUUUUUGUUUUUUUUUGGUUUUUUUUCGUAUCUGUGAUCUGUUCUUUAAUUCGGAUCGACAUAUUUUUUCCCAGUAUCUACUCUAAAACUAGUCAAAUAUGUGAUAUUAUGAUAUCUAUUAAAAAUUUGGAUGUCCAAUCCCCUAUAUAAAUUGUUAAGGAAACAAAAAAAAUAAUGAAAAUUUCAAAGUUAACUAACGAUUAAAUUACGGCUUUGAUUGGUGAUAUGAGUUACGCUUGCAUUAGUUUGAGUUAUGGGCAAACAUCAAAAAUGUUACCAAUCAUGCAUUAAUUUAUUUUUUUGAGUUUAGGUUUGAGUUAUAAAGUGGUAUAGUUGAGUUAUAAUUUUGAGUUAUCUUUUUUUUAUAAAAUUGAUUACUCAAAAGUUAAUUCAACAUCAAUCAAAGAAAAUCUCUUGUAUUAGAAGCUGAGUUAGGAUUUGUUUUUUUGCUUUUCUCCACCUAAAUUUGCUAUCCCACGUUUGUUUAAUAAAUAUAAUCAUAAUUGAUAAUCGUUUAUUUAAUUUGUUUAAAUAACAUAUAAUACAACUUAUACAGCAGAAAUGUUACCAAUUAUGUAUUUUGACAAAAAGGUAACUUAUAUUUUUACAGCAAACUCACUGCAUAAAUCUACUGUUUAUACCACAUAAUAUUUACUUAAAAUUACAUCAAAUCAUAACAUCAAUUGUAAAUCAACUUCAAAAUCACAUGUUACCAAUACAAUAUUUAUUUUGAAAUUCACUUUUGAAGUUUUGUAAUAUUUUAGCAAAUUACAUAGUUUCCUAUAACGAAUUUAUCAUGAAAGUAUAUAUUAUGCCUAAGUAGAUGUCCAACGUAGUAAUAUUUGUAAUUUACUCAGUUUUUGAUUAGUAGUACUUAAUUUUAGUAUUUGUUUUACUCCCUCAACGUAACUUACAAAGUUUUUGAAUCGGAUCGAAGUAUACAACAAAUCAAAGCGGAUUAUGGUUGGCCCUAAUCAAAUUAAUCAAUUUGAAGUUUUUGUUUCAGAUUAGUUCUUGAUCCUAUCAGGGUUUUCGCCAAUGAGGCCCAUCUCAUUGUUUGUGUGCUGUUGACAGUUUGACACAAUACAAAAAUGAAACUUCAUACUGUUUCGCUCUUCUCAUGGAAGAACGCGCGCCACUUUCUCACCCAAAAAACGUAGCUUAGUCCAAAUUCUACCAUUAAAGACAGCAAGCCAAUGUGUGCCAGCAUCAGAGACCAAAAGAGAUUAAACUUGGAAUUACAGACUCACAAAACAACUUAGCUUCAGGGUAAAAUCUUUCAAACAAGAUGAAGCUUAAACCACAAAAACCAUUCCCGGAACAACUUCUGUCCCGAAACGAAAACUUUUUCUGUGCAAACAAAUUCAAUCAACAAAGUGCUUGAUAAUGCAUAGAAGCCUCAAUCCAGUGCAGUUCAAAUAGCAAAUCCUACUUACUAAGUUUACAGCGUAAUUAGUACAUCAAAGCCAUAUAAUUUAAAGAAAGGUUAAGUAAACUUAGCUAUUAAUAAGCACACUGUGCCAUAAAAUGCAUUCCCUAAAAGCUAUAUCAAGCUUGAGAAUUCAGCAAAAGCAUAUAUCAAGAUUCCUACUAGAUAUACAUAUAUAUGGACAAUCUAAGUAAAAAAAGCCAUUAAAGGCUUGACCUUUAAGAACCAUUUUUCUCUUGCUGAGCUUCAUGUUGAAGAUUGUGAUGAUGAGCCUUAGCUUGUUGUAGAGCAAAUUGCGGAUAAAUCUGUGGAUUCAAAACCCCAACAGUCCCAUCUUGAGACAUUUGAUUAUUCUCAUAACCCAUCCCUGAAGAACCAUUGAAAUCAAACCCAAGAAACCCAAUUCCAUAAUUCAAAUCAAACCCUCCUGCAGUUGAAGCAUUAGCUCCACCAUCAAACCCGGUUUCAUUUGGCCAAAACCCAUUUGCAAUUUGAGACCUUGGAGCUCCUUUCAGGCUCAAAUCGGCGGUGAGAGGAGGUUGAGAAACAGAGUCGGUGGUGGGUUUGAUUCCACUUCCGGUGGCGGAGAUUAUCGACGGCUCGGCAUGGUGAAGCAACCACUGGAGAGUCUCGCCGUCGGAUUUGUGACCUAAUUCUCUGGUCAAUUGAAAAAUCCUCGCCGCACAAAGUGGAGGCAACCUAACUCUUCGGCCUCGUCCUUCGACUUUGAGGUGUCGAUCUUUGCUCGGUUUCUUCUGAACCGAUUGUUCUUCGUUCUCCUUAUGGUUCUUCUUCCACUUUCUUUUCCCUUCCACAGUAUUGAAACCCUUAAAGUCGGUUUCUUUCGCCGUCUUCUCGUUGUCCUGAUUCUGUGGUGAAGGGUUUGGGAAAUUCGGUACUUGUGGUUGAUUUGGGUUCUUGGGAUCCAUCAUGGACCAGGUCAAGAUGUGGUGACUUUAUGGUCGCACACUAAAAAUUACCAAGCUUUUUUUGGUUCUCUCCUUCUCUCUCACAGAGAUUCUGAUUCAAGGUGGGGCGUGUGUAAGUGUAACCUUUUGACCUAGGUAAAGGUAACUAAGUUUUAUUUUUAAUAAAUUUUCACACUUAUCGUAUAAUUUUUCGAACAAUUUAUAAAUUCUAAUAAAUUCUCACAUUUAUAUAAGUAUAUAUAAGUAACUCGAUCAAUAGAGUUUCGUUUUCUUCUCUCUCCUUUUCGUUUUCUUCUCUCUCCUAACGGCAAUUGAAUAAGCGAACCGAGAGUUUUUUGCUUUUUUUUCUGUUCUCUCUUUCUAAUCUUUCACAGAGAAUAAAGUUUUUUUUUUUUUCUCAUAUCUUCGAUCUUAUAAUCGAAGUUUUUUUAGUGUAUGUCGGAUUCCGACUUAAUCGGAUAAUAAUGUUCGCUUUUAACUGGAUUAGCUAGCUCUUUCUUCUCUGGAUUUGGACCUCUAUAAAUGAUUUGAGACGGUGGCGAAUAAAUCCGGCUGUGAAUGUCGAGCUUUCUUCUUCAACUUUUGGAUCAUCCUUUCUCGGCUAGGAGAUAAACUCUCCUUAAAUCCCCUUUUUAAGAGCCAUAUGGCGUUGGGUGAUGUGGUCUAGAAUCAAAGAUGAUCGGUGUUAAUUUCAUCGGAGAUGUAAGCUUCCGACAAGUUCUAAUCCGGAUCUAAUCAGAGAGGAAUCAAGCAGUCAAGAAACAGCAAUUAGAGGAAGAUGGAGAUCCAUUGGAGUUAACAUACAUGGUUAUACUCUUUGGAUUAUCGGUUUCUAGCAGAGCUCUGACCGGUAAUGAAUCGACGGUAUCUUCAAACCGUGAGCCAACAUCUACCCAAAAUCUGCUGCAUGUCUUUACACGUGUUUUAGACUUAUCAAUCUUUAUCUUUUUAAUAUUGGACUUUAAUGAGAUUGAUUUGCUUUUUAAUGUAUGAGUUUGGACCUCAAUUUUGCUGUAACUUGCCUGUUUUUGGGUUUUCGUUAUAAAACAAGUUGACGAUAAAAAAUAUAAGUAACUGAAUCUACGGAAAAACAUAUACAUACCACAAUGAAAAACGGUAAAAGGCUAAAUUCUUUUUUUGGACAUGUAUUUGUGUGUUAUCUUAUAAAAUGAUCUACACUUUUACAAAAAGAAAAGAAAAAAAAAGCCAAAUAUGCAAACACAUGAGAAUUUAUCCACAAUGGUAUAUUACAAAUAUUUUGGCUAUGUUAUUAUUCUCUACAACGAGCUAGAAAUUUGUUACAAUAAGUGCGAAAAAUUAGAAAAGUGCACAUAAUUAUGUCUUUUGCCCAUAAAUAUGUUGUUAGUAGGCCUUAUAUAGAUGGAAACAUUGAAAAUGGAACAUUAUAUUUGCAUUUGCAAAGAUAUUUCAAGAAAACGAAGAUUGGAUUUUUUAUUUCAAAAAUGUGAUCUUUAAGAUUUUUGUGUGUUUCUCUCUUUCUCAUGUACAACUUCGAUAUAUACUUCCACCAAACUGCGACUAGGACCUCAAAUCUCAACUUUACAAAUGGCAAUAUGCCUUUUGCAUCGACAGUUAACAUUGCCGUCCACAGUGAAAUCGAUCUGAUUUCGAGUAGACUCGCUGGUACAAGUAUGGGCUUGAUUUGGGCCGCUAAAAAUUAGUUAGGUUCGGGUAUGAUCGAUCUGCUAAGACAUAUGUUUUGUUUUAAGGCUUUUUUAUGAGCCCACUGAUUAUACUCCAGGUUAAUCCUUUGAUUGUAUUAGGGUUUAUACGAAUUUCAGCCGAUAAUUUUACUCAACGAAGAUCAGUGUCGGAUUCGAAGAGAUCUUCGCGGCGAAUUGUGUGAUUUACUGCGAAUUUGUUAAACUGGGUUAGGUUCGCCGGAAUCUGAGAUGGGUAAGGAGAGUAAGAAGAGUGAGAAUAGGGUUGAAUCUGAGGGAACCGUUGAAGAACGCAAUUCUACGAAGAAGAAGAAGAAGAAGAAAAGCCGAGAGAAAAAGGAUAGCUUUGGUGGAGAAAAUGGGGAGACAGCUGCGUUUGAAGGAGAGAAAUUGGGUGAGGGCGCUCCAGCUAAGAAGAUAUCGGAGAAGAAAAGGGUCAAUUCUGAAGCUGACGAUGAUGGUGUGAAGAAAUCGAAGAAGAGUAAGAAAAGGGCUGAUUCUGGAGCUAAUGCUGAUGAUGGUGGGGAGAAAUCAGAGAAGAAAAGGGUUGAUUCUGAAGAUAAUGCUGAUGAUGGUGGGAAGAAAUUGGAGAAGAAAUGGGCUGAUUCUGAAGCUAAUGCUGAUGAUGGUGGGAAGAAAUCCGAGAAGAAAAGGGCUGAUUCUGAAGCUGAAGAUGGUGAGAAGAAAUCGAAGAAGAAAAGUAAGGAGAAAAUGGUUGAUUCUGAAGCUGAGGAUGAUGGUGUGAAGAAAUCGAAGAAGAGAUAUAAGGAGAAAAGUGUUGAUUCUGAGGCUGAGAGUGAUGGUGUGAAGAAAUCGAAGAAGAAGAAGAAGAGCAAGAAAGAAUCUGGUGGUGAUGAGAUAGGAAACAGUGAAGAAAGUCAAAGUGAUGGUAAGAGGGAGACGGGAAAGAGAAAGCGUGAUGAGGGUGGUUUGGGAGCUGAAGAAAACACAGAAAAUUCCGACAAGGAAACUAACCGGAAAAGCAAGAAGAAGAAACCAUGUGUGAAUCCAGAGGUUGAAGAAGAAAUGAAGGACUCUGCGAAAGAUGCAAAGAAGAAACAAAGUGAGGAUUCAGAGGCUGAAGGAAACGACUUGAACUCUACGAAAGAUGCAAAGAAGAAAAGGAAGAAGAAGAAGCAGAGUGAAGAUCCAGAGGCUGAAGAAAACAACAAUGACUCGACGCAAGAUGCAAAGAAGAAACAAAAUUCAGAGGCUGGAGAAAACGACUUGAACUCUACUAAAGAUGCAAAGAAGAAGGGGAAGAAGAAAAAGAAGCAAAGGGAGGAUCCUGAGUCCGAAGAAAACAACAAGGAAGAGGCAACGAAGAAAAGGAAGAAGAAGUGUAGUAAGAGUGAUGAAAAUGUGACCACCCCAUCAAGUAAAAGCACAAAAAAGGUGAAGUUUUCUGAUCAAGUGGAAGUUUUUCCUGCUGAGGAUGAAGAAAGUGAAGAGGAGGAACAAGAAGAAGAAGAAGAAGAAGGGGUUGAACUGGUGAGAGGUAACCGGUUUACAAAGGAAGAAGACGAGCUGAUAAAGAAAGCUGUGUUAGAGUACGUUGAUAACCAUGCUUUAGGAGAUGAAGGGGUAAACAUGAUUAUGAACUGCAGGUCACACCCACAAAUUAGAGGCUGUUGGAAAGAAAUAACAGCUGCUUUACCUUGGAGGCCACAUAGUGGUGUGUACCAUCGUGCCCAUACUUUAUUUGAAGAAGGAUCCAAAGGAGUAUGGACUAAAGAGGAUUUUGAUAUGCUUAUAGAGUAUCACAAGAAACACGGGAGUGAUUGGAAAGCUCUUGCAGAUGCGAUGGGGAAACACAGGAGGCAUGUGAAAGACGCUUGGAGGAGAGUAAGAAUGGCGUCGAAGAAGAAGAAAGGACAUUGGUCAAGGCAGGAGUAUCAAACUCUCUUUGAGCUUGUGAACAAAGACAUUAGAAUGAAAGCAUUCCAAGAGAAGCGCUCAAAGCAUGGGAUGCUCCGAGAUAACAUCCCUUGGAUGGCGAUAAGCGACCAGCUUGAAACACGGGACCACACUAUCUGUUGCGUUAAAUGGUAUGAUCAGUUGCAAUCACCGAUGGUGGCAAAAGGAAUAUGGGCUAACGUUGAUGACUAUAGGCUCAUGGACGAGCUUACGAAUCUUGAUGCUGCUUGUGUCGACGAUGUGGAUUGGGAUAAUCUUUUGGAUAAUCGAGAUGGUGAAGCUUGUAGAAAGCGGUGGGACCAGAUGGUGCGGAAUAUCGGUUUCCCUGGAACCAAAACGUUUGCAGAACAAGUCGAGAUUUUGUCUGAAAGGUAUUGCCCUGACUUAGCUGAAGACAGAGAAGAUUUUGACAACAGACCUUUUGAUCCUGAAGAUUAAGUCUACUAGAAAGUUUGUUUGUCCCUUUUAUGUUCUACUUUAAUGUGAUGUUAUGUUAGGAACUAAAAACGAAAAGAGAUUACAUUUAGACUUUUGCCAUAAUACUUUCUUAGCUCCUAUGAUAAGAAUUACAAUCAGAGAAGCGAUUAAGAAUCCGCAACAAAGAGCCAAACAGUGUUUAGGCAGCUUUGCAAAGCCUUGGAUACCGACAACAGCCAUUUGAAACAACCCCAAACUAAGCAAAGGCUCAGAUUACUAGGCAAGACAUUGAAGUGAACACAAGUGUGACUCUGAAGUGAAUAAUAUUCAAUGAAAUGAAAAUGAAACUCAGCUCUAAUAGUGUUCUGAAAACUGUUAAUCAGCAUUGACCAACUGAAUGCAGAGAACACUAAAAGAACAAAGGCGGCAAACCAGAAAGAAAGAGAGAAAGAGAGACACAGAGAGAGAUGUUUUGCUUGUUGAAAUGGCGAAUGAAGAUGAGUAAUUAAAGCCAAUCAAAAGGAUUCACCAAUGUAAACUCACUUAUUCUAAGGAAUUCAUAAGAGGCAAGGAAAUUACAGAGUCACACUUGUGUUCAAAUCAAACCAAACAAAACAUGUCAAUAUAUAUUACAUACAAUGGCAAAAAGUCUUGAAACCAUCUUCCUCAGGACUGACUAGUGGUGUUCUCAGCGAGCUUCGUAUUGAACAACUGCAAGAGGAAUAAACGACCAUAUAACUUAACAAUCCAAAUACAAAAGGGAUAUGUAGUAACAAAGGUACAAACUAAAAACCAAAUUCGAAAUCAAAGAACGCUAAGAACUUGCAUCACUCCACAAAAGAAGGACUAAGGAUUAGUAGUGAUUGAACUCACCUCUACGGGUACGCUUCUUGUACAGAAUACGAUACCCACACUCUCUGCAUUGGAUCACAUCUCCAGACUUCAAUGUGUUCUCUUGUCCACAAUCUUCAAAACCUCAAUAUGAACAAGUUAAGCAAAAGCAAUACAACAACAAAAGAAGAUAACCUCUGACGUACACACCAAUGAUGCAUAUCUAAUUCCCUAAAGCAUUUAAACUCACGAAGCUAACAUUUUUACAACACUAAAGUAGUAAACUUUAUCAAAAAUUCAGUUUCAAGAUAAUCCCAGAAUUCGAUGGUCGAUAAAGCUUUCGAGAGGAAGACGAUAGUCGAGCUUACCUCCGCAGACGUAGGUAACGGGUUCGGGAAGUGGAUCCAUGAUUCUCGAAUUGAAUCUAUUCCUAUUCAACAAAGAAACAUAACUGAGUCAGGACCGGACAAGAUUGUAAACAAAAUCUGGAAUCUAGACAAAAGUUUCUCGAUUUCAUACUUACCUUAGGGUUUCUGCAGCAGGAUUAGGAUGAUUUCAAGGGAAUACCGUCGAAAUGACGAGGAAGGAGAUAUCGCGUUUGGUUUGAACAUUACUUAUUUGUAUGGGCUUCGUGAAAAAAAUAACAAUUUAAAUAUGGGCUUACACAUGAAGCCCAUAUACACAAGGUAAAUCUUUGACCGAGACCAAGUUUUACAUUACGUGAAGGUUUGACCCUGGGCACGGGACGAGUAUUUGCCAUUUUUGGUAUACUUGAUACUUGACUUGCCCCGUUAAAGUAUCAAGAUAUUUGUACUUGUACUUGACUUGUUAAUAUCAAAUACUUGCCAAAUUUUUCAUUACUUGCAAGUUACUUGCCUUGUUCCGUUACUUGUAAAAGUACAAAUAGAAUAUUAAAAAAACUAAAAUUUUGGGCCAUAUUUAAUUAAAACCUAUGAUAAUAUUUAAUAUUUUGACCUUUAGGUUUUUGGAAAGCUUUAGAUAUUGAAGUCUGGCAACGUAUUUAACUUUUGAUAAGCAGAUUUUUCUUUCCUUUUUUAUGUUGUAAUCGAUGUGGAACAAAACUAAAAAAAAAAUCAGAGAUUUGAAACGAGUAACGGGUCAAUAAGACCAAGUAGUAAUUUUUUUUUAAUACUUGAUACUUGUCUUAUACUUGCAAGUAAUCUUCUUAAGAUACUUGAUACUCGACUUGAUCAAAACAAGUACUUGGUUUUACGGGACAAGUACGGGUCAAGUAACGAGUACGGGACGAGUUCCAAGUAAUUGUGCCCAGCCCUCGAAGAUGUUUGUUUUUUUUUUUUUGUCAACUUAUACAUUACUGGAAAGCCCAAGAGAAGGCAAUUAUACAGAGAGUUUCAAAACCUACAUCAGGCCCAAUACAAUCUAGAUCAACACAAAGAAAAUCACACGUAAAAAACACGUGUUGAUCUAAAGAAAAUACAGUGACAGGUGGCAUCUGAGGAGAAAAAAUGUUGCAUCGCCGUCGUAAACUCCGCCGACGGUGGUUUUCUUGCCGACGGUCUCACCGCCAAUCAUCAACGCAUCUCCACCACUUGAAAGCUUCAUUAGAAACAUCUCUGCAUCUUCUCUUUCCUUUAGUGACUCUUCGGAUUAGAAUCUGAUUGAAAUUUAGCCAGAACUUUCUUCUUCAAUCAAAAUCACAACCGUUAUCUUUAACUCAAGACUUUUUACCCAACGCCACAAUCGUGCUUUUAAAAAGGUAAUUAGAGAGAUCUUAAUCUCUCAGUCAAGAGAGGAUAAAACCCAAAUCUGAAGAAGAAAUCUCAAAGCAAACCACCAGAUUCAUUCACAACCAUCUCAAUUUUAAGAGGAGUUCAUAUGCGGAAGAGAAACGGGCAUGAAACAUCCGAUCUUAGUCAGAAAAGAAAAUCUGAUCAUAGUCGGAAAAGGAAAACCGAACUUACUCGGAGAACGAAAAACAAACAAAAUAUAGACAUAAGAAAUCUGGAUUCACCAGAAUUUAUUAUCCGAAGAAUAUUAACAGCACAGUGCCGGCGUCGGAAAACACCGGUCACCGGCCAAAAAGAAAACGAUGAAGAGUUUUGAGAGAGUUUUCUCUUACUAGAUUUUUAGAGAGAGAAAAAUUCUAAACACUGAUGAAAUAAACAUCACACGAAGAUGUUUGUUUAUCGGUACUUUUUGAUAAAUUUUUGAUUCCUAGUAACUCUGUUCCAGAACAUACUCUCUAUUAUCUAUGUUUUUGUUAUUUUAUGAUUUCAUAUAAAACUGUAUCUUUGGGGUUUUAAUACCUCUUGAAUGCACAAUUUUCAUACAUAAAAAAUUAAAAUUAUAUUAUUAUUAUAAAAAAGUUGACAAUUUUGCUAUAUAUAUAGUUAUUAUUUUCACGGUUUAGGUUUUUUUGUAGGUUUUUUUUGUUUUCC